AAGAAGGUAACGUUAUGAGUUCAGAGAAACUUCAGAAGCUAGGGUGGACCUUCAGGCCUGUAGAGAAGACCCUCGGAGACAGCGUCGAAUCCUACAAAGCAUCUGGCAUCCUGAAAUGAGCAUCCAACUAGGGAAAGUAAUAAUGCUUGCAAACUCCUUCUGGUUCAUGUAAGCAGUGAAACAAAAUAAGUUGGUGACACAAUCAUCAAGGGAAUCAUGUGAAAUAAAAGAAACAUUGGAAUAUCAUGUGUGUUUUUAUUUCUGAUGUCUCGUGCAGUGUUCUGGUGCUUCUAUGAGUGACUGCCUGCAUAUAUUGUGUGAUUACUGAACCUGUUAAAGCAUGAACAUAUUGCCCAUUAUUCCUUAGGCGCAGUACUGCUUAGGCGAGUGAUAGGUGCUGGUGCCGGCCGGUCGCUGCACUACCACACGAUACGCCACUUUUAAACCGUACAAUCAUUCGUUCGUCUCACAAAAGAAAAAAAAAGAAAAAAGAACAACAUGCGCUCGUCGACCGUCCUCGUGACCCACGCUUGCCCUCGGUUGCUCGUGCCGGCGCGCCACAACAAGUCGCCAUUGUCGUGCCUGAGGUCAUCAUCGUGGCCGAGGUCGCCAUUGCAUCUCCCGACCACCCCGUGGUUGCAGCACGGGGGCAUACUGUCGCAUCUCCGUCACCAGCCGCCAUUGCAGCUCCGCCACCACCGCCGUCCCCCGUCCCAGCAAAUUGACUCAAAGGAUGGCGAUGGGUGGGCUCAAAGGAUGGCGAUGGGUGGGGGUGUUGGGGCAGGGGACUUGGAAGUGGUUGGUUAGCUUGUGUUACGCGUUAUGGGAUGGGCAUGAAGAAUCUUAAAGUGAUAUGAAUCAAGUGAUCGAUUGUAGAAAGAAAAGAAUAGUCUGUGCAACACAAUGCAUUGAUCGGUGCACCAGGCACGUAUAUAUGAGUACAGAAGGAGCCACAACCUCAACUAUACAAAGGAACUAGAAGGUGGACCCAAUACACAAUAUAUACGUACACAAUAUAUUCAACACCCCCCGCAGUCGAAGCGGCGCCGGAGACGCAGAGACUGGAACGAAACUCGUCGAAGGUGGAAGUCGGCAGUCCCUUAGUCAUCACAUCGGCGAACUGUUGUGCAGUCGGAACAUGGAGGACCCGAAUACGUCCAAGGGCCACCUGCUCGCGCACAAAGUGAAUGUCCAGCUCAAUGUGCUUAGUCCAACGAUGAUGAACGGGGUUGGCGGAAAGGUACACCGCAGAAACGUUGUCACAGUAGACAACCGUAGCCUGGAAGACGUCAUGAUGCAACUCCUGAAGUAACUGUCGUAGCCAGGUGCACUCGGCGACGGCGUUAGCCACAACUCGGUACUCAGCCUCCGCGCUAGAGCGCGAAACCGCAGGUUGUCGCUUGGACGACCACGAGACGAGUGAAGGACCGAGGUAAACGCAGUAGCCAGAGGUGGACCGACGGGUGUCAGGGCAGCUGGCCCAGUCCGCGUCGGAGUAGGCCACCAUCUCCAAAGAAGUGGACGCCGUGAGAGUAAGCCCAAGAGCCAUCGUGCCGCGGAUGUAACGGAGAAUCCACUUCACGAGGGUCCAAUUUGAGUCAUGAGGGGCGUGCAUAUGCAGACACACCUGCUGAACAGCAUACUGUAAAUCCGGCCGAGUGAGAGUCAGAUACUGAAGAGCACCAACAAUGGACCGGUAGAAGGGAGCAUCCGACGCGGGAGAGCCCUCGAGAGCAGAAACCUUGGCCUUCGUGUCAACAGGAGUAGCAACAGGGUGACGGUUGAGCAUGCCGGCACGCUCAAGUAGCUCGUGCGCAUACUUCUGCUGAUGAAGAAAGAAGCCGUCGGGUCGCCAAAUGACCUCAAUGCCAAGAAAAUAAUGUAGAGCGUCAAGGUAUACCUGGCCAAACGGCCCGGCCCGGCACGGCACGGCCCAGCCCAUCAUAAUCAUGCCUGGCCCGGCACGGCCCGCCAGGGCACGAUUAAUAUACGGGCCGUGUCGUGCCGGCCCGCGUGCUGCGCCCCCAGGCCCAGGCACGGCCCAGUUAGUAAACGGACCGGCAUGUUGGCCCGUUUAGCACGGUGGGCUGCAUAUUUUUAGCCUGUUAUUUGACACAGUGAUGGUUUUUAGCCUAUUUUUAGAUAUUGGGCCAUAUAUAAAUGUAUAAAAAAAAGUAAUCGGGCCAUGCCGUGCCGGCCUGCGUGCCCAGCCUCCAGGCCCAGGUACGGCCCAGGGCGUGCCGCGUGCCUGGCCCGGCCCGUUUAGCCCGUGCCGUGCCUGGCCCAAGGCGGGCCGUGCCGGCGUGCUCACGGGCCGGCCCAAAAAACCCGGCCCAUUUGGCCAGCUAUACGUCCAGGUCCUUGAUGGCAAACUCAUCACGCUGCCGGGGAGUAAUCUGUUGAAGAAGGACUGCGGAGGAGGCCGUCAGGUUGAUGUCGUUGACGUAGAGGAGCAAAUAUGCAGUCGUGUCGCCGCGGUGAUAGACGGACAAUGAGGCAUCCGAGCGAGUGACGUUGUAGCCCAUGUCUGAAGGAACCCAGCGAUACGCUGGUACCAGGCGUGAGGUGCUUGCUUGAGCCCGUAGAGAGACUGGGACAGCAAACACACAUGCCCAGGAAGAGAUGCGUCGACGAAACCGGUCGGCUGCUCACAGUAAACCUGCUCCUCAAGAUGGUCGUGAAGGAAGGCGUUGGAGACAUCCAUCUGAUGAACCGGCCAGCCUCGGGAAACUGCCAGCUGGAGAACUGUGCGGAUCGUGCCCGGUUUGACAACCGGGGCAAACGUCUCGGUGAAGUCGACUCCAGCGCGCUGCCGAAAACCACGGACCAUCCAACGAGCCUUGUAGCGCUCAAGUGUACCAUCUGAGCGGGUCUUAUGGCGAAAGACCCACUUGCCGCUGAUGACAUUGGCAUGAGAAGGCCGAGGAACCAGCGUCCAGGUACGGUUCCGCUGAAGAGCGUUGAACUCUUCCUGCAUCGCGGCAAGCCAGUGAGGAUCACGAAGGGUUGCGCGUGCGGAUGCGGGGAUCAGUGACGGCUCAGUGGUGGAGGCGGCGAGAAGAUACUCGUCGCUGGAGUACCAUAGACUCAGGCGAUGAAUUCCGGCUCAAGCCCGAGUGACGGGGCGAGAUGGCAACUCACCGACUGGCGAGGCGGUCGGCGAAGCAGCCGGCAAGGCAGCCGGCGAGGCCGUCGGCGAGAUGGCCGGUGAAGAAGCGUCGCCCGAGGCCGCCGAAGCACCCGUGCCCGAGGCACCCGAGGCGGCGGGGACGACCGAGACAACCGGCGACAGGGCGGCGCCUGAGGUGGCCGGUGAAGAUACCGGUGACGGGGCGGCCGGCGAAGAUGUCGGUGAAGCAGCGGCUGCCGGCGAAGAUGCCGGCGAGGCGGGCGAUGCUGAGGCCCCUGACGGAGUUGUCAAGGACGGCGUGGGAGCGCGAGUCAAAGCUCGUCCCACAGUGGGAGGACCGCCAAAGCCCGAAGGCGGUCCAAGAAUCGAGCAGGGCCGUCCACCUGACGGGUCGCUAGAGGGCCGCCGGUGGCCGGCGGCGACGGGAUGGCGGGAGGUACCUGCUGAAAUGGAAACAUCAUCUCAUCAAAGUAAACGUGCCGGGAGGUGAAUACACGAUGUGAGACGGGAUCGUAGCAGCGGUAUCCUUUGGUGUUAGGUGGGUAGCCGAGGAAGAUGCAAGCGACUGAGCGAGGUGCAAGCUUAUGAGGCGUAGUGGCGGCGAGGCUAGGAUAGUAGAGACAUCUAAAGAUGCGAAGGCCAUCAUAAGAUGGGGGCACACCAAAGAGGAGAUGGUGAGGGGCAUAGUUCCAGCAUGGGCGACACGGGCGGAUGUUAAUGAGGAGGGUGGCGGUGGCGAGAGCGUCCGGCCAAAACCGGGGAGGCACGUUAGAGUGAAAGAGUAAUGUGCGGACGCAGUCAUUAAGAGUGCGAAGGAUACGCUCGGCACGACCAUUUUGUUGGGACGUGUAGGGGCAAGUGAGGCGGAAGAUAGUGCCGUGGGAGGCUAGAAGGUUACGAACAGCGACGUUGUCAAACUCUUUUUCGUUGUCAGUUUGUAAAGCAAGGAUAGGACGACCGAACUGUGUGGUGACGUAGGAAUAAAAUGCAGUGAGUGUGGCAAGAGCGUCGGACUUGCAACGAAGAGGAAAUGUCCACACAUAAUGAGAGAAAUCAUCUAAGAUCACCAAAUAGUAUAGGUAGCCCGUGUUGCUUGCAACCGGGGAUGUCCAAACAUCACUAUGCAAUAACUGAAACGGAAAAAUGGAAAUAGUGGUAGAUGCGCUAAAGGAAAGACGAACGUGCUUGCCAAGACGACAAGCCUCACAAGUAUGGUCGUCGAUCUUAUUGCAUGAGAAUGAAAAGCACUUAAGUAUUUAACGCAAAGUGGUGGAGUUCGGAUGUCCCAAACGAGCAUGCCAAAGGUCGACACCUGCGGCGAGGGCGACUGGGGUGGUGGAGGCGGUGGUGGAGGAGUGCACCGGAUAGAGCUCGUCAGGACUAUCACAACGGUGAAGGACCAUCCGAGUACGGGCGUCCUUCACAGAAAAACCGACAUCAUCAAAUUCGACUGUAAUGGGAUUCUCACGGGCAAGACGACGAACAGAUACAAGGUUCGUAACUAAAUCAGGAGACACAAGAACAUCAGACAUAGUGAUAGGUGUAGAUGUGGAAGGAAACGAAGCACGACCAACAUGUGUGAUAGAUAAAGAGGAACCGUUGCCAACAGUGAUGCAAGUAGGAGUAUGAACCGGAGUGGAGGAGGUGAGAGUACCAGGAUGCGAUGUCAUGUGGGCGGUGGCGCUCGAGUCCAUGUACCAAGCGCCGCGGGUACCAAGCGCCGCCGGUGAUGGGGCCGAGUGCAGGGCGGCCAAGGAAGUAGUGUCCCAUGACGGUGAGACCGGCAGCGAGGCGAAGCCGCCGUAGGGAUGAACCGGGGCGGGCGGAGCAUGGCCGCCGGCCAUCGGCAUGGCGAGCAGAGCCGCAGGGCCGGCACUGGCCGACUGCUGCGGCACGGCGAAGUAGGCCGGAUAGCCCGCCGGAAAAACCUACGGCGUGGUGAACGGAUCCGGCGCGUCCGCGUACAUGUAGCCGAAGAGAGAUGACGCGGCAGAAAACAUCGCAGCCGCGAUGGUUAUAGCAGCAGAAGGCAGAGGACGGGUGGGGUAGUAGCAGUGCAGAAACGGGAGAGGAGGAAGCGGCGGUGACCGGCGACGGCGGCGGCGGCGGGUGGUGACGGCGUUGGGUGAGGUGAUGCGGGCGAGCGGGCAAUCGUGCGAGCGCGCGGGCGGCGGCGGGCGAGCAAAGCGGCUAGCGGGCGAUGCGAUGCGAUGCGCUAGCGGGUGAGCAAAGAACUAGCAGAAUAGACUUGAUCGAAAGCAGAUGAACUAGAACAGGCAGAUAUAUAUAUGUGUGUAGAGAUGUAUACGUGUGGAAGAACUUAGAAUAGAAGGACCGGUACGCAUUGCAUGCAUAGAAGCACACCCGCGUGAUGUAUAAUCACGAGCAGGCAAGACUAGAGGCAUAUGCUAUCCAGUCCAUACGAGGCGCAACAGCUGGGCUGACGGGAGCGGCCGCCGGCGUACGGACGCGGGCAAUCAGUUACGUCCGCGCGAGGCGCCUGGGUGUCUUUGGGCACGGGCCACUUGCCGCCGGAUGACGGCCACCGGAUCGUACGAGCGGCCACCACGUCACGAUGGGCGCACUGCAGAUUAGGAGCAGCGGCUGGGGUAGCGCGCGAGGAGCGGCGGCUGGCGCGGGUGACGCACGAGGAGCGGCAGCGCGGAGGAGACGCGUGGCGGCGGCGGCGAAAGGCUAGGGUUAGAAUCCAAAAACUGAUACCAUGUAGAAGGAAAAGAAUAGGCUGUGCAACACAAUGCAUUGAUCGGUGCACCAGGCACGUAUACAUGAGUAUAGAAGGGACCACAACCUCAACUAUACAGAGGAACUAGGAGGUGGACCCAAUACACAAUAUACACUUACACAAUACUAAAACCACUAUAUCCGGCGACGUUUUCGCUCUAAGGUUUCACCACUUGUAUGAAAGUGACCCCUGGGUAAACCGGUACAUGGCACGUGUAUUUUUUUGGUAAAUGACCGUGUAGAAUUACAUGGUGGCUGUAGAUUGUCGAUCAAAAUUUUCUUAACGUGUGUAUCGAUUGGACUGUGCGCUUAGCGAAUUCAGUUGCCUGCGGGCCAACAUGGCGCCUUGACUUCGCCGCUUGAGAUUUCUUCAGUGGAUGCGUACAUGUGCAGGCUUCCUUCUCUUUCUGGGCUUUUUCCUUAGGAUUGACGUGUUUUUUUUCUGCAAAGGGGGAUCGCCCCGGCCUCUGCAUCACAGCGAUGCAUACGGCCAUCUUAUUAAACCAAACAAAAAGGUUCCAACGAUGUCUCAAAGUCUCGAACUGAAAAUAAAGAGAUAAAAGCUCACACAGAGCCAAACUGGGCUAGAAACACAAACUAGCCAACAAAAGGACGCCACAACCGGCUGGCUAAAGAGAGAUAGGUAAACUAAUUUCCUAUCCUAUUACAUGGCCGCCAUCCAAACCGGUUGAAGAUAUCCCGAGCUACCAUUUUCCAACGGAUAGAUCCAGUAACCAAAUGCUCCCUGGCCUCCAUCUGAGUGAGUAGCGACCACGAACGGAUCAAUGCUGUGGCACGGAAGAUAACCAGUAGAAAUCUCAGCAUCACGAAGUUUGGCCGCCCUCAUAGCGCACCUCUGCUGAAUGUCAUCAACCUCGGGAAGAUCCAGGAUGCAAGCACUCAUCCGUCUCCCCAUCGAGACCGGGUCAGGAAUCCCGCCGAAAGCAACAACCUCCUCCCUAGUAAACCUCGCGCUGAAUCCCGCAAAGGGUCAACCAAGGUUACCGGAGAAGGCUGCAGUAGUGCAGGACCCACACCGAGGCCCUGGGCUACGGGUGAGUCGGGUGAGAAGAGUGCAGGGGCCUCCUGCCCGAGCCCUCCUCCCGCUCCACCCCUCAGCCCAGAGGGAAACGCCAGUGCCGUAGGAGACGUGGUCGUUCCGACCGCCGAAGAAGAAGGAAGAACCGGGGCCACCUGCCCCAGCUCCCCUCUCCCCAGCGCCACUUGAAGCGUGGGCGCCGUCGCCGCGAACGGAGAAGAAGUGGCCAAGGCCACCUGCCUCGGACCACCUCUCCCAGAACCAGCCAACGUCCUCGUAUCCGGCGUCGCCGGCAGCUGGAUAUGGAGAAGAGGAGUCGGGGCCACCUACCCCAGGCCCCCUCCCCCAAGCACCACCUCGGUAGCAGUCAUCAUCUCCGGAGCCUCAACCGCAGGUAAAGCGAGAGAAGGAGAAGCAACCACAGGCUCCCCCUCCCCCACUCCAACCAAAGACCUCGCCGACGGUGUCCUCACCAAACCUCCAACCAUGGGUCCAUCAGCAACCUCGAACUCCAACAUAGGAAGCGUGUGCUCAAACACAUCCUCAGAAUCUACCCGGUCACUCCAAAGUCUGGGGGGGGCAGAUGCUGGCUCAAAGGACCUGAACCGCAGCGUAGUCAUAGGCACCGAUGGAGAAGGUGCGGGCUGAACCCCGGCCCCGUCCUCGGGCAGCUAAGCACCAGGUCCGGAACCGUUAGACCCCUCUCGAGUAGCCUCAUCAGUCGGUUCCCCCUUAGCCCCCGCACCGUCGUCACCGCCAUGCAUAUCGACAUCAUUCCCAUUAAUCACCUCAGCAAACAGAUCAGUGUCCUCAAACUUGAUCUCGAGAGGGAAAACCUCUUCCCGAUAAGUCCAGUUUACCACAUCCGGCACAAACUCAAUGUUCAGAACGCUCACUAGCAACCUGGCCACUCCAUGAGCACGCGUAAACGCCAUGUCCAAUUUCUCCGGUUUCCCAACCAUAACGCCCAUACUGGCCACAACUCUAACGUUCUGUAAAGGCUUAGAGGGAGCCCCCGAAAACCUCAACCAGACCUGCGUAAGGGGCUUGCCAUUAGGCUCCACCAUCUUCCACUCAUGAAACUCCAGAAUGCACUUAGUGCCAGGAACUCUACACAAACCAAAGCUCGGCAGUCUCUGCAAAUCAUCCACAGUGGGGAAGUCCACCUUAAAAACGUUGGCCUCGAGACUGACCAGUUCCCAUUGGAAGUCACCCGGUGCCAGCUCCUGAAGCCUUCGCACAAUCUGAGCCUCAGUCACCUCACCCAGGGUAGCUUUCACAACCCCGGUGGUCAAACUCUGUGUCUCCUCCGACAUCUCUCUCGCGGCCGGGGACUCAAAGAACAUCAGCUCAGCACAAUAAAAUCCAUACAUUGUAAGAGCCGGAGCCUGGUCACGCAAAAACGGACAAUCCCCCGAGGCAUGUGCUGGCUUGCCACAUGAAUCACACAGCUCCGCCACACACUCAGCAAUGAAGUGGCCCUUCUCACCACAACGAUAGCAUAACAUCUUUUCAUUCUUACACGCCCACUUGGAUGCUCUCUCAGCAUCAGACCUGUCGCUAGCCUCAGUUUUAUCCCAGUCUCAGGAACCUCCACAUUGGCCAAGGCCGUCACCACAUCCGACGCCUGGCUCGGGAGAUCAGUGGAGUGAGCGUGAACGGUCUCCACGGCUGACGCCACAUGGUCCACAACUGCCGGGGGCGGAGGCUGUCUACGAUGCCUCCCACGGCCACCACCCCGACCACCCCGAUGUCCACGGUAGCCACCUCUUUGGCGGUGAUCCGGACCAGAGGCUCCCUCGACAAAUCCACCUGGAGGGCCGAGGAACGGUCUCUCAACAGACCCGUCACUCUGUCAGGCAUAACCACGACCUCCUCCCGUGGAUGAAGAACCACGAUGUUAUCCAUCUCCAUACGCAUCAUACCCAUCGUCCCCCCACUGGCCUCGGGGCGGAUCAUAGGACUCUCUAGUGUUCGAAUUCUGCCUCGUCUGCGCGGGCCCGAACGGUUCUGAGCUGGCCUCACGACAAAGUGAGGCGGAGGUGCGGCACGAGGCUGACCACCGGCAAUCGUUGGCACGACCCCAAGGGCGGCACCACCCCGGCCUGCAGCAGCCGCAACAACCACGCCCGGCGCCUGAGGCCGAAGCCCACCCCGACCCGCGGCCGGCUGCACCAUGGAAGCCGCACCCGGCGUCGGAGGCCUCUGUCCGGCCCUCCCAGCCGUAGCUUGCAAGGGCACUUGCCCCAGCGGCCGAGCGCCCAAGUGGCCAUUGCCGCGGCCCUGGGUUCCCUGGGUCCCACCACCGCCCGCCGGCGGCCUCUGGCCAAGCGGCACCAGGGUGUUGGGGAACGUUGCAGAAAAUAAAUUUUUUUCCUACAGUUUCUCCAAGAUCCAUCUAUGAGUUCAUCUAAGCAACGAAUGAAAGGGGAGAUGCAUCUACAUACCACUUUGUAGAUCGCGAGCGGAAGUGUUCAAAAGAACGGGGUUGAGGUAGUCGUUCUCGUCGUGAUCCUAUUACCGGAGAUCCUAGCGCCGAACGGACGGCACCUCCGCGUUCAACACACAUACGGUCAGCGUGACGUCUCCUCUGUCUUGAUCCAGCAAGGGGGAAGGAGAGGUUGAUGAUGAUCCAGCAGCACGACGGCGUGGUGGUGGAUGCAGCAGAACUCUGGCAGGGCUUCGCCAAGCUGCUGCGGGAGGAGGUCGAGGUGUAGCAGGGGGAGGGAGGCGCCAAGACUUGGAUGCGGCUGCCCUCCCCCUUGCCUUCCUUUAUAUAGGCCCCCAGGGGGGGUGCCGGCCCUGGGAGAUUCAAUCUCCCAAGGGGGCGGCGGCCAGGGGGUGGAGUGACCCCCAAGGCAAGUGGUGCGCCCCGCCUCCCACCUAGGGUUUCCAACCCUAGGCGCAGGGAGGGGCCAAGGGGGGGCGCACCAGCCCACUAGGGGCUGGUUCCCCUCCCCCUUCAGCCCACGGGGCCCUUCGGGAUAGUUGGCCCCACCCGGUGGACCCCCGGGACCCUUCCGGUGGUCCCGGUACAAUACCGGGUGACCCCGAAACUUUCUCGAUGGCCGAAACAGCACUUCCUAUAUAGUUUUCUUUACCUCCGGACCAUUCCGGAACUCCUCGUGACGUCCGGGAUCUCAUCCGGGACUCCGAACAACAUUCGGUUUGCUGCAUACUCAUAUUCAUACAACCCUAGCGUCACCGAACCUUAAGUGUGUAGACCCUACGGGUUUGGGAGACAUGCAGACAUGACCGAGACAGCUCUCCGGUCAAUAACCAACAGUGGGAUCUGGAUACCCAUGUUGGCUCCCACAUACUCCUCGAUGAUCUCAUCGGAUGAACCACGAUGUCGACGGUUCAAGCAACCCCGUAUACUAUUCCCUUUGUCAGACGGUAUGUUACUUGCCCGAGACUCGAUCGUCAGUAUCCCAAUACCUCGUUCAGUCUCGUUACCGGCAAGUCACUUUACUCGUACCGUAAUGCAUGAUCCCGUGACCAAACACUUGGUCACUUUGAGCUCAUUAUGAUGAUGCACUACCGAGUGGGCCCAGUGAUACCUCUCCGUUAUCCGGAGUGACAAAUCCCAGUCUCGAUCCGUGUCAACCCAACAGAUACUUUCGGAGAUACCUGUAGUGCACCUUUAUAGUCACCCAGUUACGUUGUGACAUUUGGUACACCCAAAGCACUCCUACGGUAUCCGGGAGUUACAUGAUCUCAUGGUCUACGGAAAAGAUACUUGACAUUGUAAAAGCUCUAGCAAAACGAACUACACGAUCUUGGGCUAUGCUUAGGAUUGGGUCUUGUCCAUCACGUCAUUCUCCUAAUGACCUGAUCCCGUUGUCAAUGACAUCUAAUGUCCAUAGUCAGGAAACCAUGACUAUCUGUUGACCAACGAGCUAGUCAACUAGAUGCUUACUAGGGACGUAUUGUGGUCUAUGUAUUCACACGUGUAAUACGAUUUCCGGAUAAUACAAUUAUAGCAUGAAUAAAAGAAAAUUAUCAUGAACAAGGAAAUAUAAUAAUAAUCCUUUUAUUAUUGCCUCUAGGGCAUAUUUCCAACAGUCUCCCACUUGCACUAGAGUCAAUAAUCUAGUUACAUUGUGAUGAAUCGAACACCCAUAGAGUUCUGGUGCUGAUCAUGUUUUGCUCGCGGAAGAGGUUUAGUCAACGGAUCUGUGACAUUCAGAUCCGUAUGCACUUUGCAAAUUUCUAUGUCUCCAUCUUGAACAUUUUCACGAAUGGAGUUGAAAUGACGCUUGAUGUGCCUGGUCUUCUUGUGAAACCUGGGCUCCUUGGCAAGGGCAAUAGCUCCAGUGUUGUCACAGAAGAGUUUGAUCGGCCCCGACGCAUUGGGUAUGACUCCUAGGUCGGUGAUGAACUCCUUCACCCAUAUUGCUUCAUGCGCUGCCUCCGAGGCUGCCAUGUACUCCGCUUCACAUGUAGAUCCCGCCACGAUGCUCUGCUUGCAGCUGCACCAGCUUACUGCCCCACCAUUCAACAUAUACACGUAUCCGGUUUGUGACUUCGAGUCGUCCAGAUCUGUGUCGAAGCUAGCAUCGACGUAACCCUUUACGACGAGCUCUUCGUCACCUCCAUAAACGAGAAACAUGUCCUUUGUCCUAUUCAGGUACUUCAGGAUAUUCUUGACCGCUGUCCAGUGUUCCUUGCCGGGAUUACUUCGGUACCUUCCUACCAAACUUACGGCAAGGUUUACAUCAGGUCUGGUACACAGCAUGGCAUACAUAAUAGAUCCUAUGGCUGAGGCAUAGGGGAUGACACUCAUCUCUUAUUUAUCUUUUGCCGUGGUCGGGCAUUGAGCCGAGCUCAAUCUCACACAUUGCAAUACAGGCAAGAACCCUUUCUUGGACUGAUCCAUUUUGAACUUCUUCAAGAUCUUAUCAAGGUAUGUGCUUUGUGAAAGACCUAUGAGGCGUCUCGAUCUAUCCCUAUAGAUCUUGAUGCCUAAUAUAUAUGUAGCUUCUCCAAGGUCCUUCAUUGAAAAACACUUAUUCAAGUAGGCCUUAAUGCUGUCCAAGAAUUCUAUAUCAUUUCCCAUUAAAAGUAUGUCAUCUACAUAUAAUAUGAGAAAUGCUACAGAGCUCCCACUCACUUUCUUGUAAACGCAGGCUUCUCCAUAAGUCUGCAUAAACCCAAACGCUUUGAUCAUCUCAUCAAAGCGAAUGUUCCAACUCCGAGAUGCUUGCACCAGCCCAUAAAUGGAUCGCUGGAGUUUGCAUACCUUGUUAGCAUUCUCAGGAUCGACAAAACCUUCCGGCUGCAUCAUAUACAGUUCUUCCUUAAGAUAGCCGUUAAGGAAUGCCAUUUUGACGUCCAUCUGCCAUAUCUCAUAAUCAUAGUAUGCGGCAAUUGCUAACAUGAUUCGGACGGACUUAAGCUUCGCUACUGGAGAGAAAGUCUCAUCGUAGUCAAUCCCUUGAACUUGCCGAUAACCCUUAGCGACAAGUCGAGCUUUAUAGAUGGUUACAUUACCAUCCGCGUCCGUCUUCUUCUUAAAGAUCCAUUUGUUUUCUAUCGCUUGCGGAUCAUCGGGCAAGUCAGUCAAAGUCCAUACUUUGUUUUCAUACAUGGAUUCUAUCUUGGAUUGCAUGGCUUCAAGCAAUUUGUUGGAAUCUGGGCCCGCCAUCGCUUCUUCAUAGUUCGAAGGUUAACCGUUGUCUAAUAACAUGAUUUCCAGGACAGGGUUGCCAUACCACUCUGGUGUGGAACGUGUCCUUGUGGACCUACGAAGUUCAGUAGCAACUUGAUCAGAAGUACCUUGAUCAUCAUCAUUAAUUUCCUCUCCAGUCGGUGUAGGCACCACAGGAACAUUUUCCUGAGCUGCACUACUUUCCGGUUCAAGAGGUAGUACUUCAUCGAGUUCUACUUUCCUCCCACUUACUCCUUUCGAGAGAAACUCUUUUUCCAGAAAGGAUCUGUUCUUGGCAACAAAGAUCUUUCCCUCGGAUCUUAAGUAGAAGGUAUACCCAAUGGUUUCCUUAGGGUAUCCUAUGAAGACGCAUUUUUCUGACUUGGGUUCGAGCUUUUCAGGUUGAAGUUUCUUGACAUAAGCAUUGCAUCCCCAAACUUUUAGAAACGACAGCUUAGGUUUCUUCCCAAACCAUAAUUCAUAUGGUGUCGUCUCAACGGAUUUAGACGGUGCCCUAUUUAAAGUGAAUGUAGCUGUCUCUAGAGCUUAUCCCCAAAAUGAUAGUGGUAAAUCGGUAAGAGACAUCAUAGAUCGCACCAUAUCCAAUAGAGUGCGAUUACGACGUUCGGACACACCGUUACGCUGAGGUGUUCCAGGCGGUGUGAGUUGUGAAACGAUUCCACAUUUUCUUAAGUGUGCGCCAAAUUCGUGACUUAAAUAUUCUCCUCCACGAUCCGAUCGUAAGAAUUUUAUCUUUCGGUCACGUUGAUUCUCUACUUCAUUCUGAAAUUCCUUAAACUUUUCAAAGGUCUCAGACUUGUGUUUCAUCAAGUAGACAUACCCAUAUCUACUCAAGUCAUCAGUGAGAGUGAGAACAUAACGAUAUCCUCCGCGAGCCUCAACGCUCAUUGGACCGCACACAUCGGUAUGUAUGAUUUCCAACAAGUUGGUUGCUCGCUCCAUUGUUCCGGAGAACGGAGUCUUGGUCAUUUUGCCCAUGAGGCAUGGUUCGCAUGUGUCAAAUGAUUCAUAAUCGAGAGACUCUAAAAGUCCAUCAGCAUGGAGCUUCUUCAUGCGCUUGACACCAAUGUGACCAAGGCGGCAGUGCCACAAGUAUGUGGGACUAUCGUUAUCAACUUUACAUCUUUUGGUAUUCACGCUAUGAAUAUGUGUAACAUUACGUUCGAGAUUCAUUAAGAAUAAACCAUUGACCAUCGGGGCAUGACCAUAAAACAUAUCUCUCAUAUAAAUAGAACAACCAUUAUUCUCUGAUUUAAAUGAGUAGCCAUCUCGUAUCAAACGAGAUCCAGAUACAAUGUUCAUGCUCAAACUUGGCACUAAAUAACAAUUAUUGAGGUUUAAAACUAAUCCCGUAGGUAAAUGUAGAGGUAGCGUGCCGACGGCGAUCACAUCGACCUUGGAACCAUUCCCGAUGUGCAUCGUCACCUCGUCCUUCGCCAGUCUCCGCUUAUUCCGCAGCUCCUGCUGCGAGUUACAAAUGUGAGCAACAUCACCGGUAUCAAAUACCCAGGAGUUACUACGAGUACUGGUAAGGUACACAUCAAUUACAUGUAUAUCAAAUAUACCUUUAGUGUUGCCGGCCUUCUUGUCCGCUAAGUAUUUGGGGCAGUUCCGCUUCCAGUGACCCUUCCCUUUGCAAUAAAAGCACUCAGUCUCAGGCUUGGGUCCAUUCUUUGACUUCUUCCCGGCAACUGGCUUACCGGGCGCGGCAACAUCUUUGCCGUCCUUCUUGAAAUUCUUCUUACCCUUGCCCUUUUUAAACUUAGUGGUCUUAUUGACCAUCAACACUUGAUGUUCUUUCUUGAUUUCAACCUUUGCUGACUUCAGCAUUGAAAAUACCUCAGGAAUGGUCUUCACCAUCCCCUGCAUAUUGUAAUUCAGCACAAAGCUAUUGUAGCUUGGCGGGAGCGACUGAAGGAUUCUGUCAAUGAUCGCCUCGUCCGGGAGGUUGAUCUCCAGCUGGGACAGGCGGUUGUGCAACCCAGACAUUUUGAGUAUGUGCUCACUGACAGAACUGUUUUCCUCCAUCUUACAACUAUAGAACUUGUCGGAGACUUCAUAUCUCUCGACCCGGGCAUGAGCUUGGAAAACCAUUUUCAGCUCCUCGAACAUCUCAUAUGCUCCGUGUUUCUCAAAACGCUUUUGGAGCUCCGGUUCUAAGCUGUAAAGCAUGCCGCACUGAACGAGGGACUAAUCAUCAGCACGUGAUUGCCAAGUGUUCAUAACGUCUUGGUUCUCUGGGAUGGGUGCUUCACCUAGCGGUGCAUCUAGGACAUAAUCUUUCUUGGCUGCUAUGAGGAUGAUCCUCAGGUUCCGGACCCAGUCCGAAUAGUUGCUGCCAUCAUCUUUCAGCUUGGUUUUCUCUAGGAACGCGUUGAAGUUCAUGUUGACAUGAGCAUUGGCCAUUUGAUCUACAAGACAUAUUUUGCAAAAGUUUUAGACUAAGUUCAUGAUAAUUAAGUUCAUCUAAUCAAAUUAUUUAAUGAACUCCCACUUAGAUUAGACAUCCCUCUAGUCAUCUAAAUGUUUACACGAUCCGAGUCGACUAGGCCGUGUCCGAUCAUCACGUGAGACGGACUAGUCAUCAUCGGUGAACAUCUCCAUGUUGAUCGUAUCUUCCAUACGACUCAUGUUUGACCUUUCAGUGUCUGUGUUCCGAGGCCAUGUCUGUACAUGCUAGGCUCGUCAAGUUAACCCUAGGUGUUCUGUAUGUGUAAAUCUGUCUUACACCCGUUGUAUGUGAACGUAAGAAUCUAUCACACCCGAUCAUCACGUGGUGCUUCGAAACGACGAACUUUAGCAACGGUGCACAGUUAGGGGGAACACUUUCUUGAAAUUAUUAUAAGGGAUCAUCUUAUUUACUACCGCCGUUCUAAGUAAACAAGAUGCAUAAAACAUAAUAAACAUCACAUGCCAUUAUAUAAUAGUGACAUGAUAUGGCCAAUAUCAUAUAGCUCCUUCGAUCUCCAUCUUCGGGGCUCCAUGAUCAUCUUCGUCACCGGCAUGACACCAUGAUCUCCAUCAUCAUGAUCUCCAUUAUUGUGUCUUCAUGAAGUUGUCACGCCAACGACUACUUCUAUUUCUAUGGCUAACGCGUUUAGUAAUAAAGUAAAGUAAUUUACAUGGCGUUCUUCAAUGACACGCAGGUCAUACAAAAAUAAAGACAACUCCUAUGGCUCCUGCCGGUUGUCAUACUCAUCGACAUGCAAGUCGUGAUUCCUAUUACAAGAACAUGAUCUCAUACAUCACAAUAUAUCAUUCAUCAUUCAUCACAACUUCUGGCCAUAUCACAUCACAUGACAAUUGCUGCAAAAACAAGUUAGACGUCCUCUAAUUGUUGUUGCAUCUUUUACGUGGCUACAAUUGGGUUCUAGCAAGAACGUUUUCUUACCUACGAAUAACCACAACGUGAUUUUGUCAACUUCUAUUUACCCUUCAUAAGGACCCUUUUCAUCUAAUCCGCUCCAACUAAAGUAGGAGAGACAGACACCCGCUAGCCACCUUAUGCAACUAGUGCAUGUCAGUCGGUGGAACCUGUCUCACGUAAGCGUACGUGUAAGGUCGGUCCGGGCCGCUUCAUCCCACAAUACCGCUGAAGCAAGAAAAGACUAGUAGCGGCAAGCAAGUUGACAAGAUCUACGCCCACAACAAAAUUGUGUUCUACUCGUGCAAUAGAGAACUACGCAUAGACCUAGCUCAUGAUGCCACUGUUGGGGAACGUUGCAGAAAAUAAAUUUUUUUCCUACGGUUUCACCAAGAUCCAUCUAUGAGUUCAUCUAAGCAACGAGUGAAAGGGGAUAUGCAUCUACAUACCACUUUGUAGAUCGCGAGCGGAAGCGUUCAAAAGAACGGGGUUGAGGUAGUCGUUCUCGUCAUGAUCCUAUCACCGGAGAUCCUAGCGCCGAACGGACGGCAUCUCCGCGUUCAACACACGUACGGUCAGUGUGACGUCUCCUCCGUCUUGAUCCAGCAAGGGGGAAGGAGAGGUUGAUGAUGAUCCAGCAAUACGACGGCGUGGUGGUGGAUGCAGCAGAACUCCGGCAGGGCUUCGCCAAGCUGCUGCGGGAGGAGGACGAGGUGUAGCAGGGGGAGGGAGGCGCCAAGACUUGGGUGCGGCUGCACUCCCCCUUGCCCUCCUUUAUAUAGGCCCCCAGGGGGGGCGCCGGCCCUGGGAGAUUCAAUCUCCCAAGGGGGCGGCGGCCAGGGGGGUGGAGUGCCCCCCAAGGCAAGUGGUGCGCCCCCCCCCCCUCACCUAGGGUUUCCAACCCUAGGCGCAGGGGGGCCCAAGGGGGGCGCACCAGCCCACUAGGGGCUGGUUCCCCUCCCCCUUCAUCCCACGGGGCCCUCCAGGACAGUUGGCCCCACCCGGUGGACCCCCGGGACCCUUCCGGUGGUCCCGGUACAAUACCGGGUGACCCGGAAACUUUCCCGAUGGCCGAAACAACACUUCCUAUAUAGUUUUCUUUACCUCCGGACCAUUUCGGAACUCCUCGUGACGUCCGGGAUCUCAUCCAGGACUCCGAACAACAUUCGAUUUGCUGCAUACUCAUAUUCAUACAACCCUAGCGUCACCGAACCUUAAGUGUGUAGACCCUACGGGUUUGGGAGACAUGCAGACAUGACCGAGACAGCUCUCCGGUCAAUAACUAACAGCGGGAUCUGGAUACCCAUGUUGGCUCCCACAUACUCCUCGAUGAUCUCAUCGGAUGAACCACGAUGUCGACGGUUCAAGCAACCCCGUAUACUAUUCCCUUUGUCAGACGGUGUGUUACUUGCCCGAGACUCGAUCGCCGGUAUCCCAAUACCUCGUUCCGUCUCGUUACCGGCAAGUCACUUUACUCGUACCGUAAUGCAUGAUCCCGUGACCAGACACUUGGUCACUUUGAGCUCAUUAUGAUGAUGCACUACCGAGUGGGCCCAGUGAUAUCUCUCCGUUAUCCGGAGUGACAAAUCCCAGUCUCGAUCCGUGUCAACCCAACAGAUACUUUCGGAGAUACUUGUAGUGCACCUUUAUAGUCACCCAGUUACGUUGUGACGUUUGGUACACCAAAGCACUCCUACGGUAUCCGGGAGUUACACGAUCUCGUGGUCUAAGGAAAAGAUACUUGACAUUGAAAAAGCUCUAGCAAAACGAACUACACGAUCUUGUGCUAUGCUUAGGAUUGGGUCUUGUCCAUCAUGUCAUUCUCCUAAUGACGUGAUCCCGUUGUCAAUGACAUCUAAUGUCCAUAGUCAGGAAACCAUGACUAUCUGUUGACCAACGAGCUUGUCAACUAGAGGCUUACUAGGGACGUAUUGUGGUCUAUGUAUUCACACGUGUAUUACGAUUUCUGGAUAAUAGAAUUAUAGCAUGAAUAAAAGACAAUUAUCAUGAACAAGAAAAUAUAAUAAUGAUCCUUUUAUUAUUGCCUCUAGGGCAUAUUUCCAACACAGGGCACCACACCGGCACCCGCCGGCGGCGGCGGAGCAGCCCCGCCCCGACCUGCUGGAGCAGAGGCAGCCAGCUUCUUGGCUGGCGGCGCCGCAGCCCCACGGCCGGCCAUGACCUGGAGAGGUCGGAUCCUCCUUGCCCGACAAGAACCACACGACCGGGAAGCCUCGAGUCCCGCGCCUAGGAACCCUAGCACCAGCAGAAGACGUGUGGUGGCGUGCGUUAGCAUUCUUUGUGCCGCUUACCAAUCUCCCUUCGAUCGUGUAAUCUAGAGGCUGCUGCUGCUUCUGAUCGGUGCCGCUUCCAUUGUUCCAUCUAGAAACGUCGUUUACGUCUUCGUUUUCGUUCGAUCCAUCGCCGUAUUGUUCCUAUAUAAAGGCUCAAUCUCUGCCCCGAUUUCUCCUCCUCAUUGCAACAACCAUGCAUCGUUUCCCGCGGUGGAGGGCGAUGACGAGAGUAGCUGUGGCAAAGAUGGGAUGCGACUGAUUCUGCUCGCCGAUCUCGCUGGGAGGCGUCUGGUGCAGCAGCAGGACGUGGAUCUCCUGCGGUGCGUCCGUGCAUGCAACGAGUCGUAGGUGGCCAUGGAGCUUCGGAGCUCCCCGUCCGUUCUCAUGGGGCCAACCAGACACGGUGGACAUGGCGGCAACAGCUAGCAGUAGCGAACUAGCGUCCGCCAGUUCAGUUGCGGCGAUUCAGCUGCAUGGUAGCAUUACCGGCGGGAGCGGCGGGGUGAAGGAGCGGACGUGCAGGCGCUGCGGCUGUACAAGGACUCGAACAGCACCGGCGAAAGCGGCGGUGGUGUUCUGGUGCACGUCUGGGCGACUGACCUCCGCGGCGUUGCACGUGAUUCCAUCGACUACCCGGCUUCUAAGGCACGUACGCGGCUCCCAGCGCGGAGGACGAGAAGGUUCCCGGCUAGACGAUUCUCCUCUGCGCGCUGCGACAUCGGAUGCCUGCAUCCUGCUCGCUCUCUUGAUUCUGUGGUGCCUAGGCUAGAUGAGUGUGUGCUAGCUGAUGUGCGCGUGACGCUAUGUGUAUGUGUGUGUGUGACUCUGAGUGUGCGCGUGCUUGGUGUAGGUUAGUGUGCGUGCUCUAGAGCGGCCAAACUGAGGCGAUGUCUUCUCCCUUUUCUCCUCUCCUGCACGUCCCUCCUCAGCUUCUUGACAAUGACAAUCCAUCGACGACGCGCUGGCCAACCUGCUCCUCCCCUUGACCUGACUCCGAGGCGGCGGCCGCGAUGGACAUGCCCAAGCCCAAGCGGCUGUUCUACUGGUGCGUGCGCGACGUGGUCCUCUUACUCUUUUGACCUGCAGAAUAUCCCAGAGCAUAUGAAUCCUUCUUCGCCGUCCUUUCACGUUGCCGUACUCGGCGCACGGAGUCCCAUGGAGAAAAUGUUUAGUCCCUGAUUAGUUGAGAGUCGGAGAUGUUGUGCUGCACUGAAAUGCACUUGCUUGCAAAACAUAAUGGUGGUAGUACUAGCUGCUCUUUGAACCUUUGCUUGAUGCUUUCCUGUUCUGAGUUUGUACAUUGCAUAAUCAUAUUGUAGUUAACAACUGAGGAGAGUCUUUAUUUACAGUCACAAAGAGCCUAUACUCUGAUGCUUUAACGACCAUACUUUAAUUUUCAGUGCUAAAUCUGAUUAUUUGAACAUAAUCCAAAGUUGAACUAAACGUGCAUACACGGAUACACCAACAUGUACUGUCCUAAAAUAAUUAUUAAAUUUUAUUGGAUACACCAACAUAUACUGUCUUAAACUAAUAAGUUUCUUAAGGUAUUAGUAACUUCUCUAUUAACGUAAAGGGUUACUUUUUCUUUCUGUUUUUUAUGUAUUUUUCGGAUUUACAAGCAAUUUUUUCAACUUGAUUUACAAGUAAGUUCUAUGGGCAUGGCGAUUUAUCUUGGGAUUUGUUUUUGUUGUUUUGGUCAAGCUGAUUUUUGUUGUGCCGUUUGUUUCUGGUUUGGCCACUGAUAAGUCGAUUUGGCCGCUCAUAUGUGCAUGGCGAGUGAUGUGACCAUGUGCAUGUGAACUACUCGGUAGCACACUCAGAAUUGUAUGAACGGAAUUGUGGGAAUGUCCCCUUAUAUGUCAAGAACUUUGGGAUUACAUUUAAACAGAAUUUGUCUGAUGCAUGUAUGCCACCUUUGUUCUGAUGAUGUUAGGUUUGCUUUGCUGCCCAUCCCGUGAAUGAUUGGAUGUCCAUGCUUUUCUUAAUAUAUUUUUAAUAUGGGGGUGCCCUAUUUUUCGAAAUAAUCUACAAAUACUCCUUUACACAUGGAAGGUUUACUGCUGAAUAAUAGAAUUAUUAAGCUAAUGUUCCCGUGAGGAAACAUUACUAUUUAGCCAUAGCUUUUGCUUUCAUGAUGUAGGUACUUAUUGGUCGCUUAGCGAUGCAACUUUUACCAAAAUCAUAUACCAAAGUGUUGUCACUUUUUUUAGUGUUGUCACUUGAUCAUGCUUCUUGUACCAAUAUGAUCUCAGUGAUAUACCAAAGUGUUGUCACUUUUUUUAGUGUUGUCACUUGAUCAUGCUUCUUGUACCAAUAUGAUCUCACUGAUAUACCAAAGUGUUGUCACUUUUUUUAGUGUUGUAACUUGAUCAUGCUUCUUGUACCAAUAUGAUCUCACUGAGGCGGGCAUUUUAAUUUUUCUUUGUUAGAAUUGAGAUAAAAUAUGGUAUGAAUGUUGGAUAGCAGUAUCAUCGACAACACCCUUGACUUCCUUUCAUCGCGAACUUGUCCACAUUAUUAAUACAACUUGCUUUCCAACUUGUAUUAUGUUCUACCUUGAAGUAUUACUGUCUUUUAUGUCAAGGAUGUUGUGAGGAUUGCUCCACCUCUUGAGAGUUCCUAGUAUAGUGAUACUUCUCACCAUCACCAUUAAUUCUUGGUCCCUAUGUCAAUUCUAACUGGGACACCGACAAGUGAACGAUACUCUUUGGAUUCUGCCCUUCUAGCAACCCUAUUGCUUUGAAGUUAAUGGUCGAUAGUUUCAUUCUGAGUCUAUUGCUUAUUGAAUCAUCAUUCAAACAAUGAUCGUGCUACCUAGUCCAGAUUUCCGGGUGCACCCUUCUAUCAUUGUUAUAUUGUGUAUGUUUUCCUCGAGCAUACAUCAUUAUAUCAUUUGAUCUAACUAAUGUUAUCUCCUUGUUCACAUAAUUGUGGAAAUCCAUCUUUUGGAAAUCUUGAUGAAUUGUCGCUAAGUUCGUCAACCGCCUCCUCAUCCCCUCCUUGGUUUAAUGAUGAACUAUUGUUUCAGGAACCCGCUCCCAUAGUUCAUUUCCCGGGAAUCUCGCAAUGUCAUUUUGUAAAUUUGUGUCACACCUUUUCUUCUCGGACAUCCUGAGUCUGAGGUAUCAUGACCCCAAUCAGAUCUGAAUCUCGCUCAGAUAUGAUGGUUGGGACAACUUUCCAGGAGUUAUGAUGUUGGUCCUUUGAUGAUCCGGUAAUAUGAUGUCAUGCCUAGCACCCCUGGCUGGAGGACCUAUCAUUAUAAUUUCUUUUGCAAGGAUAACCAUUCUUCCUGGAGGAAAUUGUAAGACCUAAUUUAUAAGUUGCUCCUGAUGGAUCAUUUGUGUAUCCAAAGUCUGGCCCUUGAUUGGAACACCAUAUCAUUGCUACCUCGAAGCAUGACUAUGAUACCACGCUCAUCAACAAGAACAUUGGAGGCGCGAUGCUAAAUGUUUCUUGGUCAGUUAUCCAAACACCGUUGUAAGGGUAACAUCUUGAUUAAUCCUUGCCUCUUAUCUGAAUGGUUGGGUACUUGCUCUCCUACCCUGUAUGCCAUGUUCUGCUUGUACAUGGGAAGGAUAUACUCCUAAUAAUUGUGUGUAAGCACAAUUUUUCUUUCCAUUGUUCUGUUUAAUCAGAUAAUCGUGUUUUCCUUUUCAUUCAUUUGUUUAACCUUUCCUGCAUCUGACUUAAUUAAGCAGAGAUAAUUCCCUGCUUAGGUAGGCACCUUGUUGUACCACUCUGUCUGUAAGAUCCUGUUACUAUUGUUGAUGACAUUCCAAUAACCACCGAUGGGUGAUAACUUUGCCAAUUUGUCCGCCUUGUUCAACAAGCAGGAAAAUCGCUCUCCUUGUUCCCCGUCCUUGGUACCGGCAUUGUUGCUGGCAUAGCUGGCAAGCUAUUCACUGACAUGCCUCCCUGUCGCGGCUGUGCAAGAUGUCACCACCCUUCCUACUUUCAACCCACAUUGUGGGCCCAUAACCCACAAUUCCACAGGAUCGAAACCUGACUCCACAGUAAACCCCCUGUUCCCAAGGUUGUUCCUCGCGCGUGGCCUCGUAAGUAAUUCAUGAGCCACCUGCCUAGUGAUCUAUUCUGGUAUCAGAUGCAAUACUUAUUUCCCAUUGCUCUGAACCCCUUCCAUGCACUAUUUCAGGAAACGACGAUUGUCUAUCCGCCCGGAACUUCUUAUUCUACCUUCUUACUUGCUCUCAAUGUGUUUUAUUUGUUCAACAUGAGAGAUACUCAUGUGUCCAUUCAAGGGAUAACCCUAGAUGAUUACCCCUUAUAACAUUCUAGCAUUGUCGAGCUGCCCUUUUUACCUAUUCGUAAGUAUGUUGGAAUUCCCGGAAAAAGGAUGACGACUUCAUCUUGAUGACGUGAAGCAGAGAAAUGAAGACAUCAACGUAAAAGGAUCUACUCCUUCGAGCAGAGCAACCAAGAUCGAGAAGAUUCGUUAGAAUUUUGUAACCAGACCUUUCCCCCUUAGUCCCCUCCUUAAAUCUCGGGACGAGAUUUCUUGUAGUGGAGGAGAAUUGUGAAGCCCGGAUAUUUAAGCUACAGUAACCCUCUGCUAAUUAUGCCACAUCACCACGGUAACUGUAGAUGAACUCGCGUUGAUUCGAAACCGAUUCUAAUUCAAUUUCAAAACCAAGGCAAACAACAAAAGUUUUCAAAUAUCAAAACAAAAAUGUUCGGAACAUGACAUAUUUAAGUUUACUAAAUUAGGUGCAACCUAUGUAUUUUCCAAAACUAAAAUGUUUAGGAAAUGUGAGAAAACAGAAAAUAAAAUAAAGAAAAAGGGAAAAGAAUAAAAACAGAAAAAACAAAACUAACAAAGAAAAAAGCACACAACCCCCUGGCCAAAUGGGCCAAAAGGCCCAGCUGGCAAGCCCACUGGCCUGACCGACCCGUCCCCACUCCCUUAUCCCCUGGUGUCAAAACCCUAACCCCCCACCCGAUCCCCACUCGCACCCACUCCCCUCCCCCCACGUUCGCCUCCUCCUCCCCGAUCCAGAUCGAGAUCGGGGGAACAGAACCACGGGCACGCCCGAGCCCGACGCGCUCCCGCCGCACGACGCCGGCGCUGGCCCCGCCCCUCCUGGACUCCUUCGCACCCCCUCCUCUCCCUCGAGCGGCGCUGCCUGAAGCCGUGGCCUCGCCUCGGCACCAACCCAACGCCGUCGCUCGUCGUCGCCAGUGCCCGACCGCGUCGCCGGAGCAACCUCACCGGACUGCCUCCUCCUCCCCGUCGGACUGCCUCCUCCUCCCCGUCGAACUGCCUCCUCCACAACGCCGUCGUCCCCAUCGACCUCCCCGCGCCCCACUGCCUUUUCCCUACGGCCCUCGUGAGCAUCUGCCUCCCCUCUCCUCCUCCUGUCUUCCUCACGCACGCGCUCACGACCACGGCCUCCUCAGCGCGCCCGCCUGGACCGGCGCCUCGCGAGUGACCCGCGCCAUCUAGCCGCAGCCACGGCGCCCGUCGUCCCCUGCUGCCUCCGCCCGUCGCGGUCUCUGCCCCGCGGCACCUGUCCGCGUCUGCUCGGGUCGCCUCAUUGUCCGGGGCCUCACCCCACUCCCGCUACGUUCCGCCGUCCGCUGCGGCGGCUCUCUCCGCCAACUGCGCCGCCCUACUCCGGCCGUCGGAGCCAGGCCGCACGCCUGCUCCUUCGCUCGCUGCCCCACGGCGCCUUCUUGGGCUAGCGCUCGUCCCCAAUUCGCCUGUCGCCCAUAACCGUCGCCCGCGCCCGUUUGCCCUCUGCACCCGGCGCCCUUAAACCCCCAUUGGCCCAAUGACAAGUGGGGCCGUCCCCUGAAACGUUAAAGAAAGGAAAUAAAUAAAUAAAAUAAAUAAAAUAAAUAAAUAAAUAAUAAAUAAAAGUUAAUUAAAUUAAUUAAUUAAAGGAUUAAUUAACUUAAUUAAUUCGGAUUAGAUUAACCUAAUCAUUUAGUUAAAGCUAAUUAACCCUGUUUAAUUACUAUGAGACUAUGACAUGCGAGACCCUCACGUCAGUUUGACCAGUCAACACCUCUGUUGACUGCUGAUGUCAUGCUGACAUCAUGUUGAUGCAGUAAUGCUAAUUUCGAAUUAAUUUAGUAAUAAUAAUUUAGAAAAUGAUUUAAAACUUUAAAAAUUAAUAUAAAAUAAUCAGUAACUCAGAUGAAAAUACUUUGUACAUGAAAGUUGCUCAGAACGACGAGACGAAUCCGGAUACGCAGCUCGUUCGUCCGUCACACAUCCCUAACAUAUCAAACACGCAACUUUUCCCCUCCGGAUCACCUAUCGAAAACACGAAACACCGGGGAUACUUUCCUGGAUGUUUCCCCCUUCGCCGGUAUCACCUCUGUAAGGGCAUAUUUAUCCCCAAGAUGUUUUGGUGAUUGAUGACAAUGCUUUUGCGGACUAAUCGUGUGCGUUGAGUUCUUUCAGAGAUUCAUCCUUUGGCACGAGACGAUUACUUCCCCUCAGUGUUUUAUUCAAGACGGUGUAGCUCCUUCGUUUCUCUGUUGGUGGUCUAGUUUCGUAGGAGUCACCGUACUAUCAAGAGGGGAUCCGCUUUGGUAAGGCUAGGGUGGAAUCAACACGUACACAUCCUUAUCACACCCGAUGCUUCUUUCCGCUUCAUUGGAGCUAUCUUUCCUAAAUCUGUGCCUGCCUGUCCUGUCCUAGCGGUAGUACCGUGGUCCUCAGCGGUAGUACCGCCGAAGCUCGUCAAGCGGUAGUACCGCUCCCCGAGCGAUAGUACCGCUCCCUGAGCGGUAGUACCGCUUGCAAACUUCGGCCGUAGUACCGCAGUGGUUCCGGGCUACUACCGCCUCAAUUCUCGACCGCUGUUUUUCAUGUCGGGUUUUACGGUACUAGUAGCGGCAGUAGCGGCGGUAGUACCGCUCCAAGCGGUAGUACCGCUUAUACUUCCGCGGUAGUACCGCUCGGGGGACAGGACCCUGCAUCCCUCGUCAGCGCAGCAGUAUCGCCGGGAGGGAGCGGUAGUACCGCCCUGCCCAAGCGGUAGUACUGCUCUGUGUGUGGCUAUUUGGUGGGUAACGGUUGGAUUGUUUCCCCCACUAUAUAAAGGUGUCUUCUUCCCCAAAGUUGACUUACCUCUUCCCCCAAAAGCUCCAUUGUUGCUCCAAGCUCCAUUUUCGCCCGAUCUCUCUCCCUAGCCAAUCAAACUUGUUGAUUUGCUCGGGAUUGGUUGAGAAGGCCCCGAUCUACACUUCCACCAAGAGAAAUUUGAUUCCCCCCACUUAUCCCUAGCGGAUCUUGUUACUCUUGGGUGUUGAGCACCCGUGACGGUUGAGGUCACCUCGAAGCCAUACUCCCUUGUGGUGAAGCUCUGGUGUUGUAGGGAGCCUCCAAGUGUUAUGGAGAUAGCCCCAAUCUUGUUUGUAAAGGUUCGGUCGCCGCCUUCAAGGGCACCAAUAGUGGAAUCACGGCAUCUCGCAUUGUGUGAGGGCGUGAGGAGAUUACGGUGGCCCUAGUGGCUUCUUGGGGAGCAUUGUGCCUCCACACCGCUCUAACGGAGACAUACUUCCCCUUAAAAGGAAGGAACUUCGGUAACACAUCCUCGUCUUCACCGGCUCCACUCUUGGUUAUUUCGUGCCUUUACUUUUGCAAGCUUACUUGUGUUGUAUCUAUUGCUUGCUUGUGUGCUAGUUGUCAUUGCAUCAUAUAGGUUGUCCACUUAGUUUCAUAUCUAGACAACUUACUUUGUUGCAAGGUUUAAUUUGGUAAAGAAAAGCUUAAAAAUUGUUAGUUGCCUAUUCACCCUCCCCCCUCUAGUCAACCGUAUCGAUCCUUUCAAUUGGUAUCAGAGCCUCGUCUCUUUAUUAAGGACUUUGCCGUCCGAAGAGUAUGGUUGACACCAACAACGGUGCGGAGGAGCACUCCGGUGUGAAUCCUAUCUUGUCUUCGACCGAUGGGGGAACCUCGGUCUCACGUGAGGAAUUCAAUGUGGCUUUAGACACAUUGAAAACCUCCAUGACGGCCGAGGUUAAAAGCAUGUUUUCUGAAUUCCUAGAAGUACUUAAACUAUCCACCUCGCCGAUGAAAGUGGGUGAUCCCACUAACAAGGUGACGGAUGCCACCUCCGACAAGGGGGAAGCUAAUAGUGAAAAUGGUCCUUCUACUAGUGGUAGAAAUGGCUCCGGCAUAUUUGCCCAUGUGGAACCUCCUACUUAUGGUGGACCGAUUCCCACUACUCAUUUAAAUCAUGCCGGUCCUCCUCCUAAGAUUGUGAAAAAUGAGGAUUUUGAUGCUUGGGUUUAUCAUUUCAAGCGUCAUUUAAAGCAUGUGAAUACUAAUCUUUGGAGAAUUAUAGAAGAAGGUUUCUAUCCACAUGACCCAAGUAACUUCACCCCUCGAGAAGCCGUGGAUAAUCAAUUCAAUGAGAGUGCUCUCUUCAUCAUCCAAGAUGCAAUCCUUCCUGAAGAUCUACCUCAUCUUCGUCCUCAUGCCAUGGCUAAAGACGCAUGGAAAUGUGUUGUGUCUCUCUAUCAAGGAAGUGCUAGCAUUCAACGCUCCAACUAUGAAGUGGUGCAAGAUGAAGCCGAUGAGUUUGCAAUGAAAGAAGAUGAAGAACCUUGUGAGCUCUUUCGAAGAGUGACCAAACUCGCGGUCGCACUCCGAGAUCAUGGGAGCAAGGACACGGAUGACAAUUGGAUCAAGUGCAAGUUCCUCAAGGCCAUGAUGCCCUACAACAAGGCCAUGUCCUCCGUCAUUCGUCAAAGACCGGACUUCCACUCCAUGAUCUCAAGUGAAGUGUUGGAUGAGUUCGUUGCAAUGAGCAUCUUGGAUAAGACCGCCGACAAUGCGGUGCUCCGUUCUCAAAGGGCAAAGAAGCCCAACCUUGCCUUGAAGGCCAAGGUUAGUGUGGAAGAAGAAGAAGAAGAGGAAGAUGAGGAGAGCAACCCCGAAGACACGAAGUAUGAUUAUCAUGAGCACAUGAAUCUCGCCUCAAGACAAUUUUGGAGUAAGAAGAAUACAAGACCCAACUUCAACAAGAACAACUCAAGUGGCCUCAAGGGCAAGCAACGAGUUAGAACUUGUUUCAACUGUGGAAAUGUGAGCCUUUCCGUUGUGGAUUGUCCUUACGAGAAGCGGGAAGACAAUGGUGGCAAGUUCAUCCGAAAAGACAAAGCCAAGUCCUUCCCAAACAAGAACAACUUCACCAAGAAGACUCCUACACGCGGGUUGGUAGUUCAAGAAGAAUACCGUGAGGAUGACGAUGAUGAUGAAGAUAGUGAAGCAAUGGCUAUGGCAUCUGUUGCCAUUGCCACAACUCCCCGGGUGUCUCUCUUCAAUUCACCCAACGAGAACAUCACCGCCAAGUACCUCAUGGCUAAAGCCACCAACAAGGUAACCCCCAACAUCAAAACCACCAUUAUUCCUAAUCCUGCUUCAACGGAUGGCUUUGAUGAUGGUAAGGGGUCUAAUGAGGAGGUAAAUGAAUUUGAUUCCUUCAUGAGUAAGCUCAAGGGCAAAUCCAAGAAGCACUUCGUUGCUCUCUUGGAACAACUUGGUGAAAGCCAAUGACAUGAUCGAGGCUCAUGAAGAAACCAUCUCUAAGAUGGAAGGUCAUAGUCGUGACUAUGCCGAUGAGAUAUCGGAUCUCUCUAAUGCUCUUGAGGAAGAGCGUGGGCAUCGUUUGAAUCUUGAGGAGUCACACAAUGAUGACCAUGCCAAAUUAAAGAAAGAUCUUGAUCAUGCUCUUGUUGUGUCUCGUGUUCUAACUUUCGAGAAGGCUAAACUUGGGGCUGAUCAUGCUAGACUCAAGAAGGAGUUUGAUGUACUUGACAAGGCCCGUAAGGUCUUGAAAGGUGCUCAUGCAAACCUCAAGGAGUCUCAUGCUCAACUCCAAGUUAAGCUAACCAAGGAAAAGGCCACAUUUCCUCACAUGGUCUUAAUUGAUAAUGCAAAUGCUACUAACCCAUGUUGUGAGCAUGUGCAUCUUGUGGAGGAGAAUGCCAAGUUGAAGGAACAACUCGAGAAAGGUCUUGUGUCAUGCAUACAAGGCGAGAAGAACCUAAAUGAUCUUUUGAGCAAUCAAAAGGAAGUUGUGGGCAAGGAGGGUGUUGGGUUCUCACCCAAGUCCAAGAAUAAAAAGAAGAGCAAGGAGAAGAAUAACAAGACAAAACGACCUCCCCCGCUCAAGCAAACCUUUGUGAAGGAGUGAGAGGGUGCUCCUAAGGAGAAGAAGAACAAUGCGAAGAGUGGUGAUGCCAAAGAGCGCAAAGCCAACUCUCCCAACAAAGCCGGCGACUUUAACCCCUCUUAUGUGUUGUGCCGUGCUAGUGAUGGGCAUGUUUAUGCUAAGUUUGUUGGUUCUUCUUAUGAGUACAUUGAAUGGUCUAUUUGGGUUCCUAAGAUCCUUGUUACUAACAUCAAAGGACCCAUUACUCAAUGGGUACCUAAAACCAAGCAUUGAUCUCUUGUAGGUGUUUGCUUCCUGUGGGGGAUCAUGGUUGCUCGACAGUGGAGCAACAAAUCAAAUGACUGGGAGCAAGGACUUGGUGGUGGACGUGCAAAAGAUCCCAUCUAUGCCCACCAAUGUUGAGUGGGGUGAUGCCUCACAUUCUAAGGUAUUGGGUCUUGGCAAGGUUGUCAUUUCUCAUGAUCUAACGAUCGAGAAAGUCAUGCUUGUUGAGUCCCUUGCGUUCAAUUUACUUUCCGUUCGUCAACUCGCACUCAUGGGCUUUGCCACCUUCUUUGAUAUUGAUACCGUGGACCUCUUGUGGAGCAAGACUCUUAAAGUAGCCUUUGUUGGGCAUGUCGAGAAUGGUCUCUAUGUGAUUAACUUUUCGGAGAAACCCACUAAGACCAUGACAUGCCUAAUGGCUAAAGUUGAUGUGGGAUGGCUUUGGCAUCGCCGUUUAGCCCACGUCAAUAUGAGAUCUUUGCAAAGUCUUCUCAAGGGGGACCAUGUCCGUGGACUAACAAAUGUUAGUUUUGCCAAAGAUCCUGCUUGCAGUGCUUGUAUCGAAGGAAAGCUUCAUGAGACGGCUCACCCUCCCACGACUAUCAUCUACUCGAAGAGACCCUUGGAGCUCCUGCACAUGGACCUCUUUGGGCCUCCAUCCUUUGAUAGUCUUGGGGGUAGAAAGUAUUGAUUGGUGAUUGUGGAUGAUUAUUCAAGAUACACUUGGGUAUACUUCUUCAAGAGGAAGAGUGAGACUUAACAAACCGGCAUCGACUUUGCAAAUGAAGCUCAACAUCAACACAAUGCAAAGAUCUUGACAAUAAGAAGUGAUAAUGGCACCGAGUUCAAGAACUACACCUUGGAUGAGUUUCUUAGUGAUGAGGGGAUCAAGCAUCAAUAUUCUGCACCAUAUACCCCUCAACAAAAUGGUGUUGCGGAGAGGAAGAACCGGACGUUGAUGGAUGCGGCAAGGACCAUGAUGGCGGAGUUCAAGUCUCCGUACAACUCUUGGGCCGAAGCCAUCAACACUGCAUGUCAUGCAUCCAAUUGGCUAUCUCCGCAAAGGCUUGAACAAGACUCCUUAUGAGAUACUCACCGGGAACAAGCCCAAUCUCAAGUACUUCCGGGUGUUCGGGUGUAAGUGUUUCAUUCUCAAGAAAGGUGUUCGUUUGUCUAAAUUCGAGGCUAGAGCUUAUGAGGGCAUAUUUGUUGGUUAUGCUACAAGCUCUCAUGCUUACCGUGUUCUCAACAAGUCCACCGGACUCAUUGAGGAGACGUGUAACGUGGAGUUUGACGAAAAUAACGGCUCCCAAGUGGAGCAAAGUGGUACUUGUGAUGUAGGUGAUGAAAUUCCUCCCCAAGCCAUAAGAAGAAUGGGUAUUGGUCAUAUACUACCCAUUGAGGAACCCCUUGUGGCCGAAGGAGAAGGACAAUGCUCCACUCAAGUGGAGCCUUCAUCUACUCAAGACCCACACGCUUCCGAAGAACAAAGUGUAGGCCCUCAACCUCGGGAACAAGACCAUGGGCAAGAUCAAUCUCAAGAUGAUGGUGAACCUCCAAUUGAUGCCCAAGGUCAAGUUCUCCCCCUCGAGCAAGUUCAAGAUUAUGAGCAAGCUCAAGAUCAAGAACAAGCUCAAGACGGCGCUCAAGAUGAUCAAGUUAACCCUCCUCCUUCCACUUCCGAGGAGGAAUUAGAGCGUCAUGCCGCGAAGAUUGCUUCCAAACUCACCACCAAAGGCCAUCUCAUGGAAAAUGUGGUUGGAAGUCUAAGAAAGGGGGUAAGCACUCGUAGACAAUUAGCAAACUAUUGUGAACAUCACGCGUUUGUCUCUUGUGUUGAACCCCAAAAGGUCUAUGAGGCGCUCGAAGACUCAGAUUGGCUCAAUGCCAUGCAUGAAGAACUCAACAACUUCGAGUACAACAAGGUGUGGAGGUUGGUGCCAAGGCCUUCGGGGAACCAUAACAUAAUUGGAACCAAGUGGAUCUUCAAGAACAAGCAAGAUGCUCAUGGGAACAUCAUUCGCAACAAGGCAAGAUUGGUAGCACAAGGCUACUCCCAAGUCGAGGGUAUCGACUACGGUGAAACCUUUGCUCCCGUUGCUCGUCUUGAAUCCAUAUGUUUGUUGAUUGCUUAUGCUUCCCAUCACAACUUUAAGUUGAAACAAAUGGAUGUGAAAAGUGCUUUUCUUAAUGGUCCUAUUAAUGAGUUGGUUUAUGUCAAGCAACCCCCGGGUUCGAGGAUCCUUACUUCCCAGAUCAUGUGUAUCAACUCGAUAAGGCACUCUAUGGCCUUAAACAAGCCCCACGUGCGUGGUAUGACCACCUUACCGAGUUGUUACAAGAUCGUGGAUUUGAAGUUGGGCAAAUUGAUCCCACUCUUUUUACUAAGAAGGUCAAAGGGGAGUUGUUUGUGUGCCAACUAUAUGUUGAUGACAUUAUCUUUGGUUCCCCUAACAAAGCUUUCAAUGAAGAAUUUGCCGCUCUCAUGACCUCUAAGUUCAAGAUGUCUUCGAUGGGAGAGUUGAAGUUCUUUCUUGGUUUUGAUAUCAAACAAAGAAGAGAAGGUACCUUCAUCAACCAAGCCAAAUACACUCAAGACAUGCUUAAGAGAUUCAAGCUAAGUGAUGUCAAGCCAGCCUCUACUCCGAUGCCUACCAAGUGCCAACUUGACAUUGAUCCCAAUGGUAAAGCGGUGGAUCAAAAGGUAUAUCGCUCUAUGAUCGGUUCCUUGCUUUACCUUUGUGCAUUUAGACCGGAUAUCAUGUUGAGUGUGGGAAUGUGUGCACGGUUCCAAGCCGCACCAAAGGAAAGCCACUUUGUGGCGGUCAAGCGAAUCUUUCGAUAUUUGGCUCAUACCCCAAACUUUGGCCUAUGGUACCCAAGAGGAGCUAACUUCAAGCUUGAAGGAUUCACGGAUUCUGAUUGGGCGGGAGACAAGGUGGAUAGGAAGUCCACUUCCGGAGGGUGCCAAUUUCUUGGUUGCUCUUUGGUAAGUUGGUCUUCUAAGAAGCAAAGUUGUGUAUCUCUCUCGUCCACCGAAGCGGAAUAUGUGGCGGUCGGUAGUUGUUGUGCACAACUCUUAUGGAUGAGGCAAACUUUAAAGGAGUACGGUGUCAUGUGUGACAAAGUGCCUCUUUGGUGUGACAAUGAAAGUGCCAUCAAGAUUUCUCUCAACCCGGUGCAACACUUCAAGACGAAGCAUAUUGAGAUCCGGUAUCACUUCAUCCAGGAUCACAUUAGGCGAGGGGAGAUCGAGCUCAAGUAUGUCAACACUCAUGAUAACCUUGCAGAUAUUUUCACGAAGCCCUUGGAUGAAGCAAGAUUUCGCGAGUUAAGGCAUGAGCUAAAUAUCAUUGAUUCGAGCAAUGCGACUUGAACCCAUGCACCCCCACCACACUCAACUUGUUGUCUAGUUUAGAUGUAGGCAUGGACAUAGGGGGAGUGUUGUUCUCUCAAUGAACUCUCCCUCCCCCCAUUAUGCAUAAAUUGAUCUAGUCUUUCACUUUAACCAUAUUUUAUGGUACUAGUGCUUCAAGGACGAGUUUUGGUCAUGGGUCCAAGGUUAAAAUCUUCGCGACGCCAUACCUCUUGACUCAAACAUAGGUGGCCUCGGCCACCGCCCUCUGUUGAAGAGGUGUGUUCUGCUCCGUUGUUAGUGUGUUUGUGGCCUUGUUGGUCUUUCUUCUUUCUUGGGUGUGGUUUUUCCGUUCUUUUUGAGCUUAAGUCGUGUGUGUCUAGAGGCCUGUGGUUGCUGAGCGGUACUAUCGCUGGUGGUGUGCGGUACUACCGCUCUAAGCGGUACUACCGCCCACCAGCGCGGUACUACCACUGCGAGGCGGGGUCAUGGGGUUAUAUCGGGGGCAGGGGGAGUUUUCUUCUCCCCCAUACCCAUUCGCUCGCCCCCACGCUCUUUGUCUCUCCAGCAACCGACGCCGCGGGAGGGCUCCGGCGGAUCUCCCUCUCCAGGGCGCUCCUCUCCAUUUCCUUCGGUGGAGACGAUCCCCACCUUGUCCUCUUGCCAUGGAUGCCGGUAUUGCCCCCGUUCUCUCUCUCUUCUUGUCUAGAUUUCCAAUCUAGAAUCUUAGGGGCAAUAGUAGUUGCAUCUCUAGAUUUUGGCCAAAUCUAGGCUUGAGUAGGAUGGAGAAGGCUUCUAGGCAGUUUGGAUUGGUGUUUGGUAGGAGUAUUUUUGAAUUUGGUAGGAUGGUAGUGCCGGAUCUGACCACGGCAGUAGGAAACUGCUGUUUUCCGUCUCGAGCGGUACUACCGCUCCCUCUGGAGCGGUACUACCGCUCACAAGUCGCGGUACUACCGCCCUCUACCAGGUUCCACCAUACUUUUACUAAUCAGUGAUCCUUUUUGGUUUUGUUUGGUGGCUUAUGCUCGUUCUUUCUGGUUGUUUGUGUGUUCUUGUGUGUGGUUCCAGGUGAUGAGCUUCCUGAGCAUCAGGCUCGGCGUGUCAACCCCGGUCGUGCCACGUCCAAGCGGUACCGCACAACUGAGUCUGCAGGAGGUUCCUCAAGUGCUCGUCCUCCACCCCAACUCCAGAAGAAGCCUGGUGUCAAGCCAAAGCCUGGCAAAACUGUGCCAGAAAUGCCAGCCAAGGAGUUCUAGGCAAGACAUCGCCGCAACCCCUAUGAGGCAGACCAAGAUCCCACUUUGGUCAACCGUCCAUUCUGGAACAGAUUUCAGUUUGCCAUCUUCUUUGAUGUUCUCAAGGCCAAGAAGAACCUCUUUGUUAACAUGCACUCCAUCGACACCGACCAUAUGGAGAAGGAUCCUAAUUACUUUGGUGAAGCUCUUCAGAUGUGCACUCAACUGAACAUUCUUGGUGUCAUGCAAUUCAACAAAGAUUAUGAUGCUGAUAUUGUGGCCCAAUUCUAUGCCACAGUUCAUCUCGGGACUGAUGAGGACAGGACACUGACUUGGAUGACCAAUGGCAAGUUGCUUUCAGUCAAGUGGAAGGCGUUCAUGGAAUUGAUUGGGGUGGAAGAUCAAGGGCUCGCGUCUCCUAUCGGCUUUCGCCCACACCACAACACCUCCGCCACUCACAAGCAAGCUCUAUGGCCAUACUGCACUUUGAAGAUCAACCCUGAGACGAAGAAGGAAACAUAUGAGCUUCCUGCCUUUCUGGACAUUCUUCACCGUGUCUUUCGUGAGACUCUUUUCCCUCGCAUCGGGAAUCUGGAUAUGGUUCAUUCUUAUCUCGUGGACAUGCUUCUCUUCUGCCAGCGUGAGAAGGAACAAAACACCGGAGAGUCCCUGGAUAUAUCCCAUGUUAUGUGUUCUGAGCUUUUAUCUGCUAUCUCUGAGCGCAAGUGCCCAAUUUAUGGUUCGUUCAUCAUGCUGCUUAUUGAGAAGGCUUGGGGUCGUGUCUAUCCCCAGGUGAUGCUAGAGACCGGGGAGUUGGUUUCUCACGACAUCAAGCGUCUGAGGAAGAAGGACAACUGGGGUGCUCAGGUCCCUAAAUCUGGAGUUCCUUCGUCUGCUACUGCCAUGGAGACCGAGGAGGAGGCUAAGGAUGAUGAUGACUAUGUGCCUUCUGCGGCAGAGCCCUCUUGGGCAAAGAAGCUCAAGCUCAAGAUGAAGAAGAUGUUCUACAUGGAGGCUCACGGUCAGUACAUGACUCAUGUGGGUGAUAAGAAGGCCCGUCGUUGUCACAAGGAGCUCAUGCGCCAGUUGGGUGCCACCGUUAACAGUGGAUCUGAGGACCAGCUUACUGAGGAGGAGGAGUGGAUUCAGCAGCACUGCCCGUGGACCGAUUCUGAUGCUGAGCACUUCCCGACCGAUGAUGGUGGCGCAGACGAUCCCGCUGAGACCUGAUUCUCUUGCUAUCACCUGGAGCUGUAGCAACACUCCCUCUCCUUUUUGGUGUCUCGAUGCCAAAGGGGGAGAGAGUUUAGGGAUUUGUGUUGUGUCUUCCGUCGUUUGUGUUUUCUCGCAGUUUGCCUGGUUUGGUUUGUGUCUGGUUUGUGUCAGUGAGACCUAAGUUCCAGUCAUAUGGUGUGAGACAUAUGCUACCUUAUCUUUCGAGUAUCAUUAUCUAUUUCUAUCUAGCUUAUGAGUUGCUUGCUUAUCCUGUUAUCUAUGUUGCUCUCAUAUAUCUUGCUUAGGUAGUUGAUCUCUAAAAUGUAGGGGGAGCGUUGAUCCUGGUAUCUGUGCCGUGCAGUCCAAAGCACUUAUCUAGACAGCACACAUCCAGGGGGAGCCCUUCUACAUUUUAGGACGGUGGGGCUUUGCGCCGAUCCUAUAUCUUUCCUGCUUGUGCAAAUCCCGUAUUGUCAUCAAUCCACCAAAAAGGGGGAGAUUGUAAGGGCAUAUUUAUCCCCAAGAUGUUUUGAUGAUUGAUGACAAUGCUUUUGCGGACUAAUCAUGUGCGUUGAGUUCUUUCAGAGAUUCAUCCUUUGGCACGAGACGAUUACUUCCCCUCGGUGUUUUAUUCAAGACGGUGUAGCUCCUUCGUUUCUCUGUUGGUGGUCUAGUUUCGUAGGAGUCACCGUACUAUCAAGAGGGGAUCCGCUUUGGUAAGGCUAGGGUGGAAUCAACACGUACACAUCCUUAUCACAUUCGAUGCUUCUUUCCGCUUCAUUGGAGCUAUCUUUUCUAAAUUUGUGCCUGCCUGUCCUGUCCCAGUGGUAGUACUACGGUCCUCAGCGGUAGUACCACCGACGCUUGUCAAGCGGUAGUAUCGCUCCCUGAGCGGUAGUACCGCUUGCGAACUUCGGCCGUAGUACCGCAGUGGUUCCGGGCUACUACCGCCUCGAUUCUCGACCGUUGUUUUUCGUGUCGGGUUUUAUGGUACUAGUAGCGGCAGUAGCGGCAGUAGUGGCGGUAGUACCGCUCCAAGCAGUAGUACCGUUUAUACUUCCGUGGUAGUACCGCUCGAGGGACAGGACCCUGCAUCCCUCGUCAGCGCGGCAAUACCGCUGGGAGGGAGCGGUAGUACUGCUUAUCAGCGGUAGUACCGCCCUGCCCAAGCGGUAGUACCGCUCUGUGCGUGGCUGUUUGGUGGGUAACGGUUGGAUUGUUUCCCCCACUAUAUAAAGGUGUCUUCUUCCCCAAAGUUGACUUACCUCUUCCCCCAAAAGCUCCAUUGUUGCUCCAAGCUCCAUUUUCGCCCGAUCUCUCUCCCUAGCCAAUCAAACUUGUUGAUUUGCUCGGAAUUGGUUGAGAAGGCCCCGAUCUACACUUCCACCAAGAGAAAUUUGAUUCCCCCCCACUUAUCCCUAGCGGAUCUUGUUACUCUUGGGUGUUGAGCACCCUAGACGGUUGAGGUCACCUCGAAGCCAUACUCCAUUGUGGUGAAGCUUCGUGGUGUUGUUGGGAGCCUCCAAGUGUUGUGGAGAUAGCCCCAAUCUUGUUUGUAAAGGUUCGGUCGCCGCCUUCAAGGGCACCAAUAGUGGAAUCACGGCAUCUCGCAUUGUGUGAGGGCAUGAGGAGAUUACGGUGGCCCUAGUGGCUUCUUGGGGAGCAUUGUGCCUCCACACCGCUCUAACGAAGACGUACUUCCCCUUAAAAGGAAGGAACUUCGGUAACACAUCCUCGUCCUCACCGGCUCCACUCUUGGUUAUUUCGUGCCUUUACUUUUGUAAGCCUACUUGUGUUGUAUCUAUUGCUUGCUUGCGUGCUAGUUGUCAUUGCAUCAUAUAGGUUGUCCACUUAGUUGCAUAUCUAGACAACUUACUUUGUUGCAAGGUUUAAUUUGUUAAAGAAAAGCUUAAAAAUUGUUAGUUGCCUAUUCACCCCCCCUCUAGUCAACCGUAUCAAUCCUUUCAACCUCCUACCGCGUUAGGGCACACCUAGCACCGCUCAUUGUCAUGUCAUACAUCGCCGUGCUUAUGUUUGCAUUAUAUUUAUUGUUUCUUCCCCCUCUUCUCUCCGGUAGACUACGAGACCGACGCCGCUGCUACCCAGUACGACUAUGGAGUUGACGACCUCUCCUUCUUGCCAGAGCAACCAGUCAAGCCCCCCCCCCUUGAUCACCAGAUAUCGUCUAUUCUCCUCUGUACUGCUUGCAUUAGAAUAGUGUAGCAUGUUACUGCUUUCCGUUAAUCCUAUUCUGAUGCAUAGCCUGUCGUUGUUGCUACAUCUGUUGAUACCUUACCUGCAAUCCUAAAUACUUAGUAUAGGAUGCUAGUUUAUCAUCUAUGGCCCGACAUUCUUGUCAGUCUGCCUUGCUAUACUAUCGGGCCGUGAUCACUCGGGAGGUGAUCACGGGUAUAUAUUAUACAUACAUACAUACUAUACAAAUGGUGACUAAAGUCGGGUCUGCUCGUUGAGUAUCCGCAAGUGAUUCCGAUGUGGGGGCUGGAAGGACAGGUGGCUCCAUCCCGGUAGAGGUGGGCUGGGUUCCUGACGGCCCCCGACUGUUGCUUUGUGGCGGAGUGAUAGGGCAGGUUGAGACCACCUAGGAAAGAGGUGGGCCUGGCCCUGGUCGGCGUCCGCGGUUACUUCAAAAUAACACGCUUAACGAGAUCUUGGUAUUUGAUCUAAGUCUGGCCACUGGCCUAUACGCACUAACCAACUACGCGGGGAAGAUAUGGGCACUUGACGUCGUGGUAUCAGCCGAAGCCUUCGUGACGUCAGCGACUGAGCGACGCGCGCCGGGUUGGACUGCGUUAACGCAACUUCCUUUGUAAUGGAGGUUGCUAGGUCUGCUUUCGGUCGCCCUCGCAAUGUGCAGGUGUGCAAUGGGCGAUGGGCCCAGACCCCUGCGCGCAUAGGAUUUAGACCGGAGUGCUGACCUCUCUGUUGUGCCUAGGUGGGGCUGCGACGUGUUGAUCUUCCGAGGCCGAGCAUGACCCAGGAAAGUGUGUCCGGCCAAAUGGGAUCGAGCGUGUUGGGUUAUGUGGUGCACCCCUGCAGGGAAGUUUAUAUAUUCGAAUAGCCAUGUCCCUCGGUAAAAGGACGACCCGGAGUUGUACCUUGACCUUAUGACAACUAGAACCGGAUACUUAAUAAAACACACCCAGACAAGUUCCAUAAACAACCCGGUGAUCGCUUUUUCCACAGGGUGACGAGGGGAGGACCGCCGGGUAGGAUUAUGCUAUGCGAUGCUACUUGGAGGACUUCAAUCUACUUUCUUCUACAUGCUGCAAGAUGGAGGUGGUCAGAAGCGUAGUCUUCGACAGGAUUAGCUAUCCCCCUCUUAUUCUGGCAUUCUGCAGUUCAGUCCACCGAUAUGGCCCUUUACACAUAUAUCCAUGCAUAUGUAGUGUAGCUCCUUGCUUGCGAGUACUUUGGAUGAGUACUCACGGUUGCUUUUCUCCCUCUUUUCCUCCUUUCCCUUCUACCUGGUUCUCGCAACCAGAUGUUGGAGCCCUGGAGCCAGACGCCACCGUCGAUGACGAUUCCUACUACACUGGAGGUGCCUACUACUACGUGCAGGCUGCUGACGACGACCAGGAGUAGUUUAGGAGGAUCCCAGGCAGGAGGCCUGCGCAUCUUUCGAUCUGUAUCCCAGUUUGUGCUAGCCAUCUUAUGGCAACUUGUUUAACUUAUGUCUGUACUCAGAUAUUGUUGCUUCUGCUGACUCGUUUAUGAUCGAGCACUUGUAUUCGAGCCCUCGAGGCCCCUGGCUUGUAAUAUGAUGCUUGUAUGACUUAUUUAUGUUUUUAGAGUUGUGUUGUGAUAUCUUCCCAUGAGUCCCUGAUCUUGAUCGUACACGUUUGCGUGCAUGAUUAGUGUAUGAUUGAAUCGGGGGCGUCACAAUGAAUCAAGUGAUCGAUCACAAAGAUUGACCGGUCAGUGAUGGCAUGUGAUCAGUGACCUCCCAAUAUGGAAUGGCCGGAUAAUCUCUGAUCGGUGACAAGUCAUUAGUGCCCCUAUAAGACUCGCUAUCAGCGUUGAGUUGUACGCCAAUUAGUCGGUCAAUGAUGACUUAUUUCAAAUAGUCAUGAAUGAUGCACAUUUUGUGUCGGUCAGUGUUGACUCUUAUCACUGACAUGUGGCCAGAGACUAGUCAGCGAUGAGGAGUCAGUAGUAUAGCAAUCUAUAGUAGUGAGGCCUUGUACAAUGCAAGGUGCUUAGGAGAGGUGCUUGGAGAAAUAAACUAAGCUUUUCUUAAGCACCAGUACUUAUUUGUACAGGGCAGACGCUUAAUUAGGCGCCUCUCUUAUAGAAAUAGGCACUAGUGCUUUAGAAAAACCCGGCUUAUUUUUCUAAGUAUCUCCCUAAGCACCUAGCAUUGUACAAGGCCUCAUAGGGUCAUCUAGCUAAGACACUUGGGAUCAGCUCUCAGUUGGAACCGGUGCCUCAAUUCUNNNNNNNNNNNNNNNNNNNNNNNNNNNNNNNNNNNNNNNNNNNNNNNNNNNNNNNNNNNNNNNNNNNNNNNNNNNNNNNNNNNNNNNNNNNNNNNNNNNNNNNNNNNNNNNNNNNNNNNNNNNNNNNNNNNNNNNNNNNNNNNNNNNNNNNNNNNNNNNNNNNNNNNNNNNNNNNNNNNNNNNNNNNNNNNNNNNNNNNNNNNNNNNNNNNNNNNNNNNNNNNNNNNNNNNNNNNNNNNNNNNNNNNNNNNNNNNNNNNNNNNNNNNNNNNNNNNNNNNNNNNNNNNNNNNNNNNNNNNNNNNNNNNNNNNNNNNNNNNNNNNNNNNNNNNNNNNNNNNNNNNNNNNNNNNNNNNNNNNNNNNNNNNNNNNNNNNNNNNNNNNNNNNNNNNNNNNNNNNNNNNNNNNNNNNNNNNNNNNNNNNNNNNNNNNNNNNNNNNNNNNNNNNNNNNNNNNNNNNNNNNNNNNNNNNNNNNNNNNNNNNNNNNNNNNNNNNNNNNNNNNNNNNNNNNNNNNNCGACUCCCACGUUCCGAAUUGAGAUUGGGGACCCCCAACUCCUUGUCGCGAGCUCGCUGUGGGACACGACCUGCCACACCCACCUCGCCAUAGACGAUGGAGACGCCGGGUGAGGGAAAUUCCAACGCGGAUCGCCAAAUGAUGUGUCCGUGAACAGCCGAAUGGGUGAGGUGGACUAUGUUAUCAAAUCCUCUAACAAUGUUUAUCAAAUCUAGAUUGUGGGCUAUGACUGACUAUGGGUGAGGUGGACGAAGAGAAAAUAAAUGGGGACAACCGAAUCAACUAACAGUGGGCCAGGCAGAGGGGAUUUUAAACGCCGGGGGUGAUACAAACAAUUUCUUUGAUCGCCAUUGGAUGGCUAAAACUGUUUGGGCGGUCUGGUCAAGACAAUUUGGCGACGCGGGAGUUGCCCUGAGAGGGUGGGAGGUGCGAGUGAUGACGGCAGGGGGAGGACACUAAAAAUUGGUAAAUUUUAAAAUCAAAAUACGGGAUUUUAUUUGGGGGGCGAGUGUACUGGGAAUUUGAGAUCCGCGGCACCUCAUCAUAAUCCAGAAACUGUUAUUGGGACAGCCCCGCUUCACCCUGCUGGAGAUAUAUUAUCGAGGAUUUGCCUCAGUUACCAGUGCUCUCUUUCAGUUUCGGGUCGCAGCACAGACAGGAGGAGCGAUAUGGAGGCGGCCGGCGCGGGGAAAGCGGCGGCGCCGGCGGCCGUGUGCGUGACGGGCGCGGGAGGCUUCAUCGCCUCGUGGCUCGUCCGGCGCCUCCUAUCCAGAGGAGACUACGCGGUGCAUGGCACCGUCCGUGAUCCCAGUAAGAUUUUCUUGAGAUGAUCGAUCCUCUUGCCUUGCUGCGCUUGCUAUUAAGAUGCGAAGUUCCGCGUCUGCAGGCGACCCCAAGAAUGAUCACCUGAGGGCGCUGGACGGCGCUGGCGAGCGGCUGCGGCUGUUCAAGGCCGACGUGCUGGACUACUCGAGCGUGGCGUCCGCCGUGGCCGGCUGCGUCGGCGUCUUUCACGUCGCCAGCCCCGUGCCCGCCGCCAAAUCCGCGGACCCCGAGGUAACAGCCUGACUGCACCACACAAAAGCUAGCUGCUGUGCCUGCGCUUACACGUUGGAAACGGCAUGUGCGAUGGUGAUUAAUCUGCUGCACGGCGCAGGCGGAGCUGCUUGCCCCGGCGGUGGCCGGCACGCUGAACGUGCUCAGGGCCUGCCGCGAGGCCGGCGUCCGCCGCGUCGUUGUGGUAUCGUCGGUCGGCGCGGUCCUCAUCAACCCCAAGCUCCCCGAGGGCCCCGCCCUGGACGAACACUGCUGGUCCGACGAGGAGUACUGCAGAACAACUGAGGUGACUGACUCCGACUCAGUCUAUUUUCUCCGAAAAAGUUUUUUUACGGGAGCCGGGAGCUACCGGUGACCACCAGCCAAUAGCAGCGCUCCAGCUGUAACGUAUUUUAAUCCUUCUCUGUCGUAUUUGAUUCCUUUUCUGAUUUUUUUAUCUGCAUUUUCUUUACCCUGGGACCCAUGCAUGGAAGGGACAACACUGACACAUGCAUCUAUUUUUCUGCACAUAGUACAGUACACAUUGUCUGCUUUCUCUUAUACAACUCAUCGCUUUAAAUUUUCUGUGGAUAAUUUAGAUGGUUCAUAUUUUUAAAACCAAAACUUAAUUAUCGAAACUUUUUAUAUAUUUGAACUCCUGAUUUCAAGUUUAGAACAAGCUUAAUUUAGGAUACUUUUUGAACACGUUUGAAUCCAUUUAUUUCACUCAAUAUGUUUCAAUUAUUUCAGAAGAACUAUUUAUUUCAGUUCUUUCGAACCACUAAUUUCCAUUGAUUUUCUGAAAUACAAUUUCAAUUAUUUCAAUCGUUGUAAAACGCCUAUUUCACACAUUAGAAAACAUAUAUUUUUGUCGUUCCAAAAGAAUUGGUUCCCUAAUUUCUGAAAACCGAUUUCACUCAUUUCGAAAAGCUCAUUUAUUUAUGUUCAAAAAAUCAAUUUCACUCAUUAGAAGAAACUGAUGUCAGUAAUUAAAAAUAAUCAUUUCACUCAGUUGAGAAAAUAGAUUUCACUCGGUUUAAAAGAAUGAUCUAGCUCAUUUCAGAAAAAAGAUUUCACUCAUUCCAAAAAGUAUGUUUCACUAUGUUCAAAAAACCAGAUUCCGCUCAUUACAAAAGAUGGACUUAUCCUCAUUCAAAAAACUUGUUUCCCUUGUUUCAAAAAAUAUAUUUAAAUCAUUUCAACCUAGUUGAUUUCACUAAAUUAAAAAACAUAUUUCACUCAGUUUAAUAGAAUGCACUAAAUUGAAAAAAAACAUAUUUCACUCAGUUUGAGAGAAUGAUUUUAUCAUUUCAAAAAAAGAUUUCACUCAUUUCAAAAAGUGAUUUCACUCAUUUCAACAAACAUGUUUCACUGAUUCAAAACACUGGUUUCCCUCAUGCCAAAAAAUAUAUUUAAAACAUUUCAAAACGGUUGAUUUCACUAAUCUGAAAAAAUAUAAUUCACUCAGCUUAGUAGAAUGAUUUCUAUCAUUUCAAAAAAAAAGAUUUCACUCAUUUCAAAAGUGAUUUCACUCAUUUUAACAAACAUGUUUCACUCAUUCAAAACAUUGGUUUCACUCCAAAAAAUAUAUUUAAAUCAUUUCAAAACGGUUGAUUUCACUAAACUGAAAAAAAAUAUCACUCAGCUUAAUAGAAUGAUUUCUAUCAUUUCAAAAAAAGAUUUCACUCAUUUCAAAAAGUGAUUUCAGUCAUUUUAACAAACAUGUUCACUCAUUCAAAACACUGGUUUCACUCAUUCCAAAAAACAUUUAAAUCAUUUCAAUACAGUUGAUUUCACUAAAUUGGAAAAAUAUAUUUCACUCAGCUUAAUAGAAUGAUUUCUAUCAUUUCAAAAAAAGAUUUAACUCAAUUCAGAAAGUGGUUUCACUCAUUUUAACAAACAUGUUUCACUCAUUCAAAACACUGGUUUCACUCAUUCCAAAAAGUACGUUUCGUUGUGUUCAAAAACCAGAUUCCACUGAGUCGAAAAACUUAUUUCACUCGUUUCAAAAGUUGGAUAUAACUUAUUUCAAAAUGGAUGAUUUCAGUAAUUCGACAAAAUGAUUUCACUCAAUUUAAUAGACAUAUUUCACUAAUUCCAAAAUACCGAUUUCACUCAUUUCAGAAAAUGGAUUGCACUCGUUUCAAAAGGUGGGUCCACUUGCUUCAAAAACAGAUUUAACUGAAAAUAACAAAACUGAAACUAGACGAAAUAUAUUCAAGAUUGGCCUUCUUUAAAAGAUCUAUGCGCCAAAAGUUCAAAUAUAUAAAAGUUUCAUAACUAAAAUUUUGGUUUAAAAGAUAUAAAUAAUUUAAAUUAACAAAUGUAAAAUAAAAAUGUGGAUUUGUUGUGUAAGAGAGGAGAGAGACUGCACGUGUACUUUUGUUGCCAUGCAUGUGUCCUACAGUACGUGAGGAGCAUGCAUGCAAUUGAUCAUAGGUAGGCCCAUGUAAUAAUUUUGGUGGGGUUCAUUCACUGUAUUUUGUCAGAUAUAAAUGUUGUAUAGCAGAAACUGGAAAUAAAUGCGUGGCAGCUGCACGAAUCUUCGCGCAUCAAAUGGAUGAUGGAUUACUAACCGGUACAUCCCGAUUCCGGUAAAAAGAGCUUUGCGCUAUUUUCUCUCUCUCUCGCUCUGACCACUCAGGAGUAAAUUAAGCCGAUUUUCCAAAAUGCAAAGGAGAGCGAUGUGAUCAUCAGCUCUAGUUGUUUUCCAAACUGAUUUUCAUGAGAAAAUUACUUGCAUCAAUCUGCUCCAGUUUGUUCCAAAAAGUUGUUUUCAUCCGGUUCCUACUUACUAGUACUGCUGAACUGACAUGACGGCUUAUGUCAGAACUGGUACUGCCUGUCCAAGACACUAGCCGAGCGCGAGGCACUCUCCUACGCAGAGAAGACCGGGCUAAGCGUGGUGACCGUGUGUCCCUCGCUGGUGUUCGGCCCUCUGCUGCAGCCCACGGUGAACGCCAGCAGCUUGUUCCUCAUCAAGCACUUGAAAUGUAAGCUCCAUUUUGCGCCCCUUGAUCUUUUCGCAUUCAGAUUCAGAUACGUAAAUACAGAUGCAGUUCUUGCUAACAUACGGUUGGUUUGAUCUUGAUGUACGCAUGCAGGCGACGACGCGGACGCCAUGGAGGACAAGGUGAGGAACAUGGUGGACGUCAGGGACGUCACCGACGCCCUUGUGCUGGCGUACGAGAGCCCGGAGGCGGCCGGCCGCUACAUCUGCAGCGCACAUGCCAGGAAGGUCUCUGAAACGGUUUCCAUCGUCAGGACCAUGUAUCCGAACCUGAACUACCCAAAGAAGUAAGACGCCACAGUUAAUCCGCUCGCCCUACGCCACGUAUGUACAGUACAGUACAGUGAUUGUGUGCAAACUGACAGUACGCUCGUGAUUUUGACGGCGGUGACGAUGAUUUUGGCAGGUACGUUCAAGUGGGAGAUCAGAAGGUGUUCAGCUCCGAGAAGCUGCGGAGGCUGGGGUGGAAGUUCAGGACGUUGGAGGAGACGCUCAAGGACAGCGUCGAGUCCUACAUGGCUGCGGGAAUCCUAAACUGAGCUUGGCCAUGGACUGUCAAACAAACUGAAUUUGGCCAUGGUGUAUGUGCAAAAGGAGUGAGUGUGAAGCGUAACCAGAUGUUGCUAGUUUCAAUUCAUGGGCAGCUGGUUAGGGUUAGCUGAUUUGUGCCAUGGUCAAACUGUACCCUGAAAACUGUAGGGUGUUUCUUUUUUUGCGGGAAGACGUUCUUGUAUUACUCAAAAAUUGAGAAUCUUCUAUUAAGAUACUAUAAGCUCGCCACCCGGUGCAUCGAGAGUUGUGGGGAGAUCUGUCCUGAAAGGGUGUGUGUCGCUGGGCCAGGCGGUUUUGAGAAGGUAUUGCCCGAUUUUUUGUUAUACUUUCUUUUUGUGUGUUUCACCGGUUUUAAUAAUGUUAUUUUGAAUUUUUCCCUGCUUUUUUACUUUUACUUUUAUUCUCUUUUUAUUGUGCCAUUUUAUUUUAUUUUCCACAUGUUAACUCAUGAAUAUUUAUUAAAAGGCGUGACAUUUAAAAAAUAUCAAGAUUUUUUUGGAAUUCAUAAACAUUUUUCAGUUUUAUGAAAAUAAUUCGCUAGUAUUUCCAAACCAUAUGAACAUUUUUGAAAUUUUGAACCUUUUUCAAAUGCGCAAACAUUGUUUGAAAUCUACAAAAAUAAAUAAAUCUGCAUACAUUUAUAAAAUUCAUGUUUUUUAAUUAGCUACAUAUGUUAAAAUCCAAGCUUUUAAAAAAAUACUUGAACUUCUUUUGAUUUAAUAAAAUUCUUCGAAUAAACAAUAUUGUACGUCUUUUAUAGAACUAGCAAUGGAGUGAGCACAAAAAGAACUAAGCGAGCGAGCGGAGCACGGUACUGAGCGAGCAAGAGCUUUACGGGGCCGGCCCAUGUGAGUGCUAUAAUAGUAAUUCCACGGUUUCAAUGUGAAAUAAGAGCUCCCAAGAGACUCACUCAACCACCACCACCUUGAGACUGAGGCCAGCUUCUCAAAACAAAAACAAAAACUGACACCAAGGACAAAACUUAUAAGCACUACACAACCACACACCCUUUUUUGUGAAAACUUCCAAUAUAUUUAUUUUCAAUCAUGAUAGUACAACGAACACUAGAAAUAAUAAAAAUUACAUCCAGAUCUGUAGACCACACAGCGACGACUAUAAGCACUGAAGCGAGCCGAAGGCGCGCCGAUGUCAUCGCCCCUCCCUCGCCGGAGCCGGGCAAACCUUGUUUUAGUAGAUAGUCGGAAAGUCGUUGUGCUAAGGCCCAUAGAACCAACACACCAGAAUAGCAACCGCCGCUGAUGAAGAGUGUAGAUCAAAAGGAUCCAACCUGAAGACACACGAACAAAAAAGAACGACGAACAGAUUCGAGCAGAUCCACCGGAGACACACCUCCACACGCCCACCGAUGAUGCUAGACGCAUCACCGGAACGGGGCUACGCGGGAAGACCUUUAUUCAAUCUCCAAGGAGCCGCCGCCGUCUCGCAUUCCUGAGCAGGGCACAAACCCUCACAGAACUCCAAAAAAGAUCUAAAAGGAGUCCUCCCACCGACAAGGGGUGAGAUCCACUCCGCCUCCAUGGCCCUCAGGUCACCGGCCGGAGACAGGAUGGACCGGCGCCGGCGUUGGUGGGAGGCAGAAAACCCUAGAUUUUCUGAGUAAACAACCACACACCUAACAACUUCACUCUCCUCUCAAAAUAAAUACCGUCUCUAUCAGUAGCCCAACAUGAUAUACGACAUAAGAUGAUACUACUAAAAUAUAAUUAACGCUCAAACUAAUGUAGAUAAGGAUCAAGACAAGACAUAAGAUGAUACUACUAAAAUAUAAUUAACACUCAAACUAAUGUUGAUAAGGAUCAAGACAAAACAACCGAUCGUAAUAACCCUCCGGAGACAAAAGAGUUAAAGCCACGAAUGAAAAACGACACGGCGAAACACGCAUUGGCCUCUAGUUAAAAUCAUAUGUGCUGAUGCUCAAGAUGUCAUAUGGACCUGAUCCUAGCCAGACAACACAGUUUGGCCUUAAGAUUUGUAUCAAAGGUUGCGGUAAGAUGACCAGCACUCUGACUACGUCUAAUAUAAGCAAUACAAGAAUCACACUUCUUCAUGUUUUCUUUUGUUUCAUGGAUAAGGAUGGCAUAUCUUGAUCUGUUGAUAUUAUCGCUCUGUUGAUAUUAAUUGAUAAACUAUGUUGACUGGACUAGAGUCACAAAGAAACAAUAUAGACCAAACAGUCAAAAUCGUAAAAAGAGAAGACUCUUGAAACCGCCUCGACCGCUCGCAAACCUCUUUUUACCGGUUCAGGUUGUACCGGUACAACAUCCACCACACAGUGCCUUUGAAAUCUGUGCAGUUGUGGCCCUACUCCAUAUGUAUAUCUCUGUAUUGUCCAACGCAUACUCCCUUCGUUCUUUGAAGAGUGUCAAACAUUUUUAUGUUUGACCGUAUUUAUACAAUAAUGCACCAACAUUUAUGCCAUCAAAUUAGUAGCAUUAGAUUCAUGAUAAAAUAUAUUUUCAUCAUAUACCUAUUUGGUUUCGUAAACAUUGAUAUAUUUUUGCACAAACUUGGUCAAACAUUGAGAUAGUUUUGACCCUCCAACAAAAUUGAAAGUACACUUUUUAAAAGACGAAGGGAGUAUGUUCGUAUCUCAGCACUUAAAUCAAAUCAGUGGUCACAUCCAUCCCCUACAUGCAUGACACAGACACAAUUACUCUCGUCUCCCCCACACUAAAUUCAUGUCCUUUUAUUUCUCUUUUGAUAAUUUCAGUCGUUCAUAUCUUUUGAGCUACAAACUUAUUUUUGAAACUUUUUGUAUAUUUGAAUUCGUAGCGAUGAGACCUUUUGAACAACACCAAUCUUCAAUGCAUUUAAACUAGUUUCAGUUUUGCCGUUUCAAUCAAAUUUAUGUUGAAUGAACUAUGCUAAAAAUCUGUAUUUUGAAAUAAGUGAAAUUAUUUUUGAACUGAGUGAAAUAUAGUUUUGAAGCGAGUGAAAUUGUUUUACAAAUGACAGUUCUUUUGAAAUAAGUGAAAUAACCUUUCUAAAAUAAGUGAAAUUAAUUUUUUGAAGUAAGUGAAAUCUUUUUUUUUUCAUACACAUGACAGAUGUGAAAUACGUGAAAGUUUUUAUUUCAAAGUUUUGAAAGUAGUUAUUUGAUACAAGUGAAAUAUGUGUUUUAAAAUGAACAAACUCACUUUUCCAAAAUAAGCUUUUUUACUGAAUGAAAUAUGUAUUUUCAAACGACUGAAACUUGUUUUCUUAAUUGUGUGAAAUUAUUUUCUCUAAAAUAAGUGAAAUAAGUUAUUUGAAAUAUGUGAGACUGUUAUUUUUCAAAUAUACGAGUCAUGUGUUUUUGAAAUACGUGAACUCAGUGAAAUAUGUGUUCUGAAAUAAGUGAAAUCGGUUUAUUUAAAAUAAGUGAACCAAGUGUUUUUGUAAUUAGUGAAACAUUUUUUAACACAUGAAAAUAGAUUUCUCAAAGGAGUGAAAUGUGCUUUUCAAAUUAGUGAAAUACUUUUUUGGAAGAAGUGAAAUACUUUUUUUCUGAAUUAAGUGAAAUAGGUUUUUUGAUUUGAGUGAAACCAAUUUUAUGAAGUAAGUGAAAUCAUUGUUUGAAUGAGUGAAAUUGUUUCUUGAAAUGAGUGAAAUAUAAUUUUUGAAACGAGCAAAAUCUGUUUUAUGAAGCAAGUGAAUUUGUUUUUUCAAUUGAGUGAAAUUGGUUUCUUUAAAUAACUAAAAUGAGCUAUUUGAAACGAGUGAAAUCAAAUGGGUGAAGUUAGUUUGUAAGUUCCAUAUUCCGGUUUGUGAAAAAGUUUGAAACCAUAGAUAUCACUUAUAUGAAUUAGUGAAACCUUUUAGUGUUUUAUUGAUGUGAUUUCAAAGAUAACUGAAAUAUAUAUACGUGAACCAGGUCAUUUUGUAAUGAGUGAAACCUUUUUUUAAACACAUGAAAAUAGUUUUUCUCAAAGGAGUGAAAUGUGCCUUUUCAAAUCAGCGAAAUACUUAUUUUGAAAUGAGUGAAACUAUAUUCUUUCAAACUGAGUGAAACAUUAAAAUUAAAACUAGUUCAAAUGUAUCUUUGAUUGAUCUUGUUCUGAAAAUCUUCUCGCUACGAAUUAUAAUAUAUUAAAAAACAAGGUUAUGGUUCUAAAAAUAUUUAACAUCCAAAGUUUUAGUACGAAAGUAAAUAGAAGUCUUCUGCAUGGGAAGAAAGAGAAUAGUUUAGAAUAGAUGUAAUCUUUACACACUGCAACCAUGCAAAAAGCUGCACACAUGGGUCUAUGUCAGUACUACUCCCUCCGUCCCGUUAUAUAAGUGUAGUGUCCAAGAAAGAAAGUUAGCGUUUGUGCCUCUCGCCGGCGCCGGCGCAGGUCCGCCUCGUCUCCGGUGGCCCUAGGGCCAUGGAGGCGCGGUGGAUCCUGGCAAGGGCCGGCGGGAGGGCUUCGUUUUUAGUCAUUGUUUUCAAUCUUGUUAGGGUUUGUGUCCUACUCAGGAAGGCGAGACAGAGACGGCUCCCUGAAGAUGGAAUAAAGGUCUCCCCGCCUAGCCCCCGUUCCGGCGGUGCGUCUAGCAUCGUUGGUGGGCAUGUGGAGGUGUGUCUCCGGCAGAUCUAUCUUUGGUGGAUUUGCUCGGAUCUCGUCGUUGUUAGUCUACGUUCGUGUGUAUUCGGUUUGGAUCCUUCCGAUCUACAUUAUUUUUUAUCGGCGGCGGUUGCUGUUCUGGGGUGCUGAUCCUAUGGGGCCUUAGCACGACGACUUCCCGACUGUCUACUACAACAAGUUGUGCCCGGCUUCGGCGAUGGAGGGGCGAUGACGGCGGCACGCCUUCGGCUCGCUUCGGUGCUUGUAGUCGUCGCUAGGUGGUCUACGAAUCUAGAUGUAAUUUUUAUUUUUGGUAUUCGUUGUACUGCCAUGAUUGAAGAUGAAUAGAUUGAAUUUUUUUUUAAAAAAAGUAAGUGUAGUAUAAAAACGUUCUUAUAUAACGGGACGGAGGGAGUAUUUGUCAGUUGUAUUCAGCGGGCGUAAGAGUUUGUAUGUUUAUACUGUGUCAGAUAGCAUCAAUCUUGAUUGACAUGCGUGUACGGUGGAUCAAGCACCGGUACAUCCCGGCUCCGGUAAAAAAAACUUUUUCGCUCGACCGCUCUGGAUUGGCGUCCGCUGUCCACUUCAGCGCAGAGUGGCGAGACGCGGAGCAACCAAACUCCGCACGGGCGCACGGCAGAGGGGACUAGAGCCGGAGCGGGGAGAAGAAAGAGCAUGGCGGCGGCGGCGAGGAAGUGCGUGUGCGUGACCGGCGCAGGAGGCUUCGUCGCCUCGUGGCUCGUCAAGCUCCUCCUCUCCAAGGGUCACUACACAGUCCGCGGCACCGUGCGCGAUCCCGGUAAGGGCCUUCCUUCCUCGCUUCGAUCCGUCCUUCCCACAUCCAGAAGAUUCCUUUUCCUAUUGGCUGUGCCAUCGAAGAUCGAUGCUUACCCAGGGGGAUGUAUAGAAUUUGUUUUUUAGGAAUAUAUCAGUAGCAUGUUGUUGCUGAAAAGUGAAAACGGAAGGAGGGGAAGCAGUCCAGGCAACCAUAUUUGAGGGGAAGCGGCCCCCUAAAAAUAAUGUUGUUCUUGGAAGUUGGAAGUGAACAUAAACUUUUUGAGAUAGUAUUGGAGUUAGAUGCUUUUUAGCAGUUUCUUCGAACAUGAUUGUGUAAAUGUUGAGAGGAAAUUGCGGGAAUUGUGAGCUCCGACGUAUUAAGGCUGUGUUUGAUAGCAAAUGGUGAAAUAAACUGAAGUAUCGAAAACUGAAGUAAUUUUGCCACUAGGUAUGAGAUACCAUGGUUUCAUCAAAACACAAUAUUUUGGAGUAUUCACAAUACAUAGAACCUGUUUGGUUGUUGUCGCACACUGCUAUAAAUUUUGCUGCCUAGCCAUUGUGUUAGCAGUGCAAACACACGCAGCUAGCUGGCCGUUUGAAUAUUUUUUCUGUUGCAUUCAACUAAUCUGCCAUGCACAUACAGCUACCUAGCAUAUAGCUUACCGUUAGCAGGGUAAACACGCCUAGCUGGCUUCUUUAUAAUUUCCAGUGCGUUAUUCCCGGCAGCUAGCUAGGUAGCCCUUACCUUACCAUACGCACGUAUAAGAACAGGAGAAUGCAAAAACUGAACAGCAAGGUACGUACUAACCAUCCACCACAAGGCACGUACCUAGCCUAGCUAGCUCGUUUCUUUCCCUUGCUCUGUUUAAAAAAAAAAGAGGUCCAAGGUUCUUUUUUAUAUGCAGAGAAACUACUACAGUUUUAAGAAUACUCUAGUUUUAAUAACAUAAUAUUUAGUGCUAACCAAACAGGUCACAGUAAAUAAAACUAUGAUAUUUGAAAAAACUGCAGUAUUCUUAGAAUACUUAGAAAAUACUUUACUAUCAAACAGGGCCUUAUUAGUUCUUGAAACUUUGAAAAAAUAGUUGGGUAUACGUUGUUGUGAUGGACCCAAGAAAUUUGUUAUAUGUGAAUUUGUGAUGGUGGUGGUGUGUUUUGUGUGUGACCGUAUGCUGCAGGUAAUGCUAAGAAUGCUCACCUUAAGGCGCUAGAAGGUGCUGGGGAAAGAUUGCAGCUGCUCAGCGCUGACCUGCUGGACUACGACAGCAUUGCGUCCGCUGUUGCUGGCUGUGAGGGCGUCUUUCAUGUUGCUAGCCCUGUCCCUUCUGGCAAGUCAACCAAUCCUGAGGUGAUAUUUUCAAGAACAUGUGUUUUACUUUGACGGUUUUGUGAGGUUUUGAGGUAAAAGCAAGAGGAAAUAGCAGGUGAAUGAGUGGUUUGACAUAGCGCAAUUUUAUUGGCAACUAUACGUGGCUCUGCAUCCCAAGUUAGAUGUAAAGUUUACUUGACCUUGAGGCCUAGAUGGAUUUUCUCAAGGAUUUCCCCCCAAACAUGACCAUUUGUUAUUCAUAGGAGAUAUACUGAAUUCAUCGCAUAAUGCGAAAUCUGUAAUCUUUCCCUAUAUAAACAAGUUCAUGAAAACAGACAAAGUUUGUCGACUUGUUCAGGUUUGUGCAACAUCAGCCUAUCUGAAUUUUGUAACCUACCUCUUUCUUUUAUAUAGUGCUAUUAUACAGAUGUAUUACUAAUGUUUAAUUUCUAGAAACAAGUGUGUACUCUAAUAUUCUGUUGUUUACUUCUUUGUAGGAAGAAGUUAUAGCCCCUGCUGUAACAGGCACACUGAAUGUCUUGAAGGCUUGCUACGAGGCGAAAGUUAAGCGAGUUGUCAUGGUGUCUUCAGUUGUUGCUGUGUCCAAUAAUGCUAACUGGCCUAAGGGUAAAUUAUUUGAUGAAGAUAGCUGGUCAGACGAGGAUCUCUGCAGAAAGGGUGAGGUAAGUAAGCCAAUGCCUUUGCGUUUGCUAAACAUUGUUCUGCCAAGAAACUUUUUUAACUCACAGUAUAGCGUGCUACAUCAGCUGCUAAUUAAUCACAGAUUUAUAUUGAUUUGGAAUAUACUCCCUCCUUUCAUAAAUCAUUUGUAGAUGGACGUGAAAGGAGGAAGAACCAAAUAGCACUGCUUCCUCGAAGCAAACUUCCGGUACCCGAUCAAGGGACUAAUAAAAUACCAGCUCCAACUCUUGAAUAGCUCUCACUUCUCUUGGCCGAUAGCUUAGAUGACCGACUAUUAGGCAUGAUUACCAAUGAUUUAAUAGUAGGCUUCUUGUUUGGUGAGCUAAUGUUUCACCCAAGGAUGAAGGUAGUAGUAUAAAGAGGAGCCGCAUCUUUGCACAAAUAACCUUGACGCUUCCUAAUAAUAUGAUGUUCUUCAGCUAACCACACAGAAUGUUCAUGAUCUUAUGCUGUGAUUCCUUGGUCCGGAUGACUUAUUUGAAAUAAAUUAUGUGUGUUGUCAUUGUGGCAGGAUUGGUAUUUCCUUUCCAAAACGCUCGCAGAGCGUGAGGCUUUUGCUUAUGCAGCAAAAACUGGGCUGGAUAUUGUAACUAUUUGCCCGUCGUUGGUAAUUGGCCCCUUGAUGCAGUCUACAGUAAAUACGAGCAGUAAUAUUCUCCUUAAUUAUCUCAAAGGUGGGUGUGUUUAUCUCAGUGUUUUUUCGUCUUACAUGCAAUUUAUAUGAAAGAGUGAUAAUUUGCUCAGCAUUGCUCUGUUUAAACUGGGUCAUCAUAAAUUGAUAUCUAAACUGAACAAAGCAUAUUAACCAAUAGCACAAUGGACCUUUCAACCUUUAAGAUCAAGUUGUUUAAAAAACUAAACUAGUUUAUUCUUAUAUUAUAGUUCUGUUUCUGUAAAAAUGAAACACUUUUCUCUUGCAGGGGAACGUGAUACUGUAGAAAAUAAACUCAGGAAUCUAGUGGAUGUUCGUGAUGUUGCCGAUGCUCUUCUAUUGGCGUAUGAAAAUCCAGAGGCGUCUGGACGUUACAUCUGCAGUUCAGUACCAGUUAAAGUUUCUGAUAUGAUAAGCAUACUGAAGACCUUAUAUCCAAUGUACACUUAUCCCAAAAAGUAAGCGCCUUCCUCAGCAGGCAACUUUUUUUUUUGUCUUACUGCUAUUUUGAUUCUGCAUUUCACAAGCUAGAUGGUCCAUUUAUCUUUUCCUGAGACGAGCAUAUAUCAGCAUCACUUGGGAAGCACUAGAAUGGGGAUUGACAAAUUGAAUUAAGCAUAGUAGAGUGCCAGGUUUAUGGAGGUGUAAUGCUCUGCAUCUACGAUUUAAUUUUGCAUGUAGUUUAGGAUAUGGAAUAUGGAAUAUCAAAAAUUAAUGAAAGAUGUCACCAGACCAUAACGUUCUUUGAUACGAUCCGUCCUGCUUUUCGAUGCUCAACUUGGACGUAACUUGUUCUCUCUCCGAAUUGCGAAUUGCUUUGCAGUUUCACCGAAGUGGAGGGAAAUACCAUUUAUAGUUCGGAGAAACUUCAGAAGCUAGGGUGGACCUUCAGGCCUUUAGAGAAGACCCUGGGGGACAGCGUGGAAUCCUACAGAGCAUCUGGCGUCCUGAACUGAGCAUCCAACCAGGGAAAGUUUGGCUGUUAAUGCUCGCAAACUCCAUGUGGUUCAUGUAAGCAGUGAAACAAAUUAAGUUGGUGACACAAUCGUCAGGAGAAUCGUGUGAACAUGAGCAAAGCUUGAAUCUUAUGUGUGCCUUUCGCUUGUGGUGUCUUGACUUGAGGUGUUUCGAGGCAUAGUGCAAUGUCUGCUUGCAC
rnacentral:lncRNA from 1 species